ACAAUAAUUUCAUCUGCAUAUUUAGGAUGACUUGUACAAAUCUCUUGCAGAUCACCUGAACAAUAUCAUGAGAAAGAAGCCAGUUAUUUUCAUUUCAGAUAGAUAGGAGCAUGAUUAAGGCUAUUUGGUUGAGAAGCAAUAGAGACUAAUCAAAUAAGGAUGAUGAACAACCAACCAGUGAAAGGACAGGCAAAACACUUGCUUAAGUUCUUCAAGUAUCAGUACAAUAAGAUAAAUCUGAACAAAUGAAGAUCAUGGGACUCACAUUUAAAAUUACAUUUCUCAUUCUGGAAGAAGUUUUGGCCCAACAUCCCAAUAAAUUCCAAGUUACAGCAUGCAUCACCUUGCAAUAGCAAGAUACUAAGUUGCAAAUAAUCUGACCACAAAAACUUUGUUUUUGAAGAGUAGCUGAGUAGCAGAUACAGUGGCUGAAACUUUCACAGCAACAACCUAAAUAGUUCCUGCCCAACUCCACUACUGUUAAACUGUAAACUAGAUAGUAACCUUGUCUCAGAGCAGCAUUCCUGGUAAGAACAGUUCCAGAUAGAUAUGUAUGGUAGUUGGACACCAACAUGAGACAAUGAAAUGAUUGUCUUUAGUAUAUAUACUAGAACAAUCUAUGCUAAAUUGAGGAGAAUCUAUGAUAAUAUACAUAAUGGAGGAGACAAUCAAAACAAUUUGAAGUUAUGCUUUCAAGAAUGUGUGCUUUAGAUAUUAAAAAAAAAUGUUAGAAGAUUACAAGAAUAAGACCAAGGGAAUAAUAUGAAAUGUAUGCAUUAGAGUGAAUUUUAUGUAAGUGAUCAUCAGAAAGAAUAAUUUUAAGAACUGCAUUAAACCCUGGUUUUCAUUAUGCUCAUUAUAGGGAAAUUAAAUUUCCCUCAAGAAAUCUUUAGAAACUUACCUACAGGUGUAUCUGAAAAAUAUUGGAAUCAUUCAUCUAAUCCUUGAGGGCAAUAUUAGCUCAUGAGAUGUUCUGGAAUGCAGGAACCGACCAAAAAGGCUCUACAUUCAUUUUGUGCUGUCUCCCCAACCUAAAGCUACUGCAUUUCUUCUUUUGCACAAACAUAUCUUAGUGAUUGAACCCAAGAGAUCGAAUUUCUCAUUUCAUAAAUCCAGCUAUCGGAUGAAACCUAAGUUCUUCUCUAUCACUUCAGUAGAACUGUACUAGUUAUCUUAACUCUGUGUUUAGAGACCUAAUGAAGUGUCAUUGAAUGCUUUCAUCAGGACAAGUUUACAAACACUAAAUUGAGAUUGACCUCCCAAAACACUAACAAACAGAUUCCCUAUUAGACUUCUCAGAACAAUUAUACCUACCUUAAUCUAAGCCCCUAGUAGAUUGAAGACAGAGACCCUGUAAGAAGUGGCUGAGGGGAACACAAUGAACACCUAGCUAAACUAACUUGUCUUGAAGAAGUCCACCCUUGUUUCAUAAUUAUAAUGAUGUUCCAAUCUUCCAAUGCUCCUAUUAGGGUAAAUUAUGCAUGAAGUAAUAUGUCUAUGAGCUUUCAGGGAACAAUGAACCAAUCUACCUACAUUGAACCUAGCCACAUUUACAGCUCAUAUGGAGAAUAGGGAAUCCAUAUCUCUUGGCUUUACAUUUGCAUGAUUUUCUCUGUCUCUCUACCUAUUUCAGAAUCUUCUUUUAGGUCCCAAACCCUACACAAGUCUGAGGCAAAGUUGGAUAUUCCUCUAUCAUACAAAUGUUCUAUGUUUUUGCUCAACUUGCAGGGAUGCACAUCCCUACCUUGCACACCUUGGAUGAUUUAUCUGCAAUGGUUUUUGAAACCAAAAGAAGGGUUAAAAUUAGAGAGACAUGUGAGAGAGUCCUACCUUCUCUAUCCUCAUGCUCAGGGCAAUCAAAGCUUAGUUACAAACAUGAGGCAGAGUUGCAUGGCAUCUUUGAGAUACUCCAGUUGAAAGGAGACAAGGACUCAGCCAAAGAGAUUGCAUCUGACAGUGGCCUUUUGGCCUCACUGAAGGUUCUGUACCCCUUCCAUAAGAUCCUGAGACUUGAAAGUGUCCAGGUACAAUGAACGAGAUCUAUGCUCCACAGCUCUCAGAUCAUUCCUUAGACGACUGGAUAAACACUUGGAAGGGACUGUUAUAAAUAGGCUUCAAUGGUCAAAGCAAGCUGGGACACACAAACAAGAAGGAAGAGUUGGAUGUCAUCUGGAGUCCCUCAAACACUUCAGAAGGGCUUUUGGAGGCUAAACCUGGAACCAGGCAUGCCCUCCCUGAAGUGUUUGGGGGAACUCUGGGUGUCACCCAACAUACUUGGUGCUCAUGUGCCAGCUUUUGACAUUGCUGUUCCUUUGGCUGUAGCUCCUUUCUCAUGCUAGUUCUUUGGUUGCAUGCAUGAGUAGCCUUAGGAAAACAAAUUAUCACAUUGUUCCCUUUGUUUACAUUAUUUUCAUUUAAUUAGUGCCAUGCUUUAUGUCCAAAUUAUCUAUUGAAUGAAACCCCUCAANNNNNNNNNNNNNNNNNNNNNNNNNNNNNNNNNNNNNNNNNNNNNNNNNNNNNNNNNNNNNNNNNNNNNNNNNNNNNNNNNNNNNNNNNNNNNNNNNNNNNNNNNNNNNNNNNNNNNNNNNNNNNNNNNNNNNNNNNNNNNNNNNNNNNNNNNNNNNNNNNNNNNNNNNNNNNNNNNNNNNNNNNNNNNNNNNNNNNNNNNNNNNNNNNNNNNNNNNNNNNNNNNNNNNNNNNNNNNNNNNNNNNNNNNNNNNNNNNNNNNNNNNNNNNNNNNNNNNNNNNNNNNNNNNNNNNNNNNNNNNNNNNNNNNNNNNNNNNNNNNNNNNNNNNNNNNNNNNNNNNNNNNNNNNNNNNNNNNNNNNNNNNNNNNNNNNNNNNNNNNNNNNNNNNNNNNNNNNNNNNNNNNNNNNNNNNNNNNNNNNNNNNNNNNNNNNNNNNNNNNNNNNNNNNNNNNNNNNNNNNNNNNNNNNNNNNNNNNNNNNNNNNNNNNNNNNNNNNNNNNNNNNNNNNAUAUAUAUAUAUAUAUAUAUAUAUAUAUAUAUAUAUAUAUAUAUAUAUAUAUAUAUAUAUAUAUACUAAAUAAAACAAACCAUAAUCUGAUGCUUCACUUCCCAUCAUAUAAUUUUCAAGUGGUACUUCUAGGUUUUUUUUUUUGAAUAAUGAUAUUUUUUUGAGAAAUUUCUUGCAUAAUGAUAGUUCAAUAGUUGUUGCUUAUCUUCAUGAUUGCAUAUUGUUCUUUCUAAACAUCCAUAUGAGCAAGAUAUCCAUAUAUGAGGAAAGCUAUUCUCAUUUCUUUUCCUGCUUUGCAUCAAGUAAAUUAGUAUGAUGAUGAGUAAAAAAUAAUUGCAGAAAAUAAAGGCAAAAUAAAGAUGAAAUGUGAGUUACUGCUCAUACAGUGAAAAGUAUUGGGUUUAGAAGAGAAAGAAGCAGUUUAAUUUGAGUGAUCAAAAUAAAGAUAAAAUAGUUAUUCAUGUCUACUCUUCCACAAUAUGUGAUGUUAGUUGUUUCAUCUUUAUAAUUCUUUGAACAUAUACAUCUAACUAAUUCUCAAUCACUAAAAUGGAUUAUAAUCUGCUUAUAAAUCAAAGGAUUUAGACACUACAAAUCUAAGUUUCUAUAAGGGUGUAGAUAAUACCCUUUAACAAGAAAGAAGAAAACAAAGAGACUAACAUGAGAUGAAUCACUCUGCAACAAGCAAAGUGAAGGAUAGGUUCCCAACAAAACUAGACUAAUUAUAGUCAGAUUAGAUCAAGCUUUUCAAGAUAUUCAUCAUGAAUGUUUCGUAUUGAAAUGAGCUUCUAUUACAAAGACAUUGUUUGUAUAGAGAAGCUUUUGACAAGUUUUCCUUAUCCAAGUGUGGCUUUUGUAUAGAGAUGUAAUAGAGAGGCACAUUCUCUAGCUUGUUUUGCUAGAAUUGAGGGUCUGUCCAGGUUUUGGAGUGGUGACUUGCCCAGUUAUCAUGAUCUUGCAAGCAUUUUGUACUCUCCUAUUUAGUUUUUAAUGCAGUGUCUCUUUCUUCCUCCAAAAAAAAAAAACAUUGUUUGCACAAAUUGACAUUUCCAAAUAACCAUUCUUAAGAAUAGGCAAAAAAGACCAUAAGCAAGAUGAGACUACAACCAAGCUAUUAUGACAUCCACAAAACCAGUUAAACCUUGCAUAAGCACAACUCUAGGAAUUCCUAAACUCUAAUAUAUGGCUAUGGCAUGAAACCAAAGAGCUGAUAUUUUUGGAAAGCCACUAUCAUAAUCUCCUUGUGAACAUGUAAAUUGGAAGUCAUAUACAUGAUCAAGCAUCUACUGUUUUAACUAAACCCUCAACAAAGAUUUCAAAUACCAAACAAAUCAGUAGAUAUCACACAGUAUUUGCAGGUCUAAUCAAGGACUUGUAUCCUUCAUCUUUUUCAUUAUAUAAGAGAGUCUUAAUCGAUAUACUAUCGGAUAUAUGGUAUCAUACUGAUCCUCUCUCUUGUUGUGGAAAUCUUACCUACAACUAAUAUUCUUGAUAUGAUAAAUAUUCUUCAUCCAUCAAAACCCACGACAUUAAUCCUAGUCAAUUGAGUUUUUGCACCAUUGGCACUUACCGAGUCAAUACUAAAUAAGAAUAUAUUUUAAAUCAAAUAUAAUAUAUAGAACAUUCUCGAUAUAUGAUUCAAACUAUCAUACUAAAUUGCAAGCUUCAAGCACUAGAAGAGGUCGAAGUGGUGAUUGAUAGUCAAGGAGGUAGAUAGACUUAAAAGAUGCAAUAGACAAUAUGAUGCUUUCUCUCGAUGCUUAUGAUAAACUAAUUGCUAACAAAGACAACAUGGCCAUCCCCAAGGAAGAGUCAACAUCAACGUUGAAAGGGAAGGAGAGGACAAUAGAGGAAGGCUAAUUACAUAUUACCCUCGUAAUUAGCUAUCUUAAGUAUUUUGAUCUCUACAUUUAAAAAAAAAAAUAUUAGCAUUUCUAUAGUUAUGAAAGUGAAAUAUCUAAAUCCAUUUAUCCUAACGUUAUCAGUUUUACUAACGAAAACAUAAAAAAACGGGUAAAAAGAUAACUUUAACGUUCUAAUUGAUGAUGGUGAAUGACUUCGGUAAUAGUGAACGACAUCAUCAUUGGGGGCCACAAGUGAUUGUUAUUGAUGAGGAGAGAGAUACUGAGAAGUGAGAGCCACUCUGCAUCUAUGUCGACAUCGAUGCAAUUAUUGAGCGACGCUUCGACAUAAUUGCCGAGCAACAAAAGGGUCGCUCGACAUUUGCAUCGGUGGCCCUUUCGCUGCCCGACAAUUGUGUGGUUAUCGAUGUAGAUGUAAAGCAACGAAAAAAUCGCUCGACAAUUAUGUCGACGUUGAUAUAGAUAUAGAAUGACUCUCACCUCUUACUACUACUCUCUUCAUUUACAAUAGCCACCCGUGGCCCCUAGCAGUACUGUCGUCUAGCACCACCGAUACUAUUUGCUACCAUUAACUAAAAUAUUAAAAUUAUCUUUUUAUUUUUUGUUUCAUAUUUUCAUUAAUAAAACUGAUGGUGUUAGGGUAAAUGAAUUUAGAUAUUUCACUUUAGUAACUAUAAAGAUGCCAAUUUAGCUUUUUAAAGUGUAAGGAUCGAAAUACUAAAUGUAACUAAUUUCAUAGGGUAAUAUAUAAUUAGCCUCAAUAGAGAAAGAACGAGAAUGAUAAAUGAUUGAAGAUGAAGAAAAAUGUAAUAAUAAAAGAGAGGAAAAUACAAAGUACACAUAUGAUGGAGAGCAAUGUGAGGAAGAGAGAUAUAAGCAAGCAUGGUGGAAGGUAGAUGAAGCGAUAAGGGAUAACAAAAGAACAAAAAAAAAAUCAUAAAUGAGAUAACGAUAGCGGCAAAAGAGAGACAAUCAUAGAUGAGGAUAAUAGAGAAGAUGAAAAUAACUAGGGCAAUGUAGGAAGAAGGGAGAUUGGUUGGGCUGUUCAUAGAUUCAACUCAAAGGGAACACCAAUUUACAGGGUUUUUUUAGAAUUGAUUGUACCCCAAGCUAAUUUUUGACGGAUACACUCUGUCUUAUAAAGUGAAUAUUUUGUAGGUAAGUCUAUCUUGUUUGGAAUAAUUAUAAACAAAGUAUAGAAAUAAUAAAUAAAAAUAUAUUGGUCAAUGUACUAAAAAAAUAUCAUUAAUUGACAAAGAAAUAUUCUUGAUCUUUCAUAUUUUUUUAUAUGAUUUUUUGUAAAAUCAUAUUAAAUCGAAUAUAGGGUCAAUAUGAUUCUAUUUUCUCUUAUUCUUUUUGCUUCAUCCUCAGCAUCACCUAAACCUCUUCAUCAUUCCCUUCACCAUCAUCUAAACCUCUUCAUCAUUCCCUUCACCAUCAUCUUUAGAGGACAAGGAGGAAGAUGAGAGCUAACUACAAAUUAUCAUUUAUAAUUAGCUAUAUUUAUUAUCCUGAUCAUUAUAUCUUAAAAAGUUACAUUGCUAUUCUUAUAGUUAUAAAACUAAAACAUGUAGGUUCAUUUACUCUAACGUCAUUAGUUUUGUUAAUAGAAACAUGAAAAUAAAAAAGAAAAAAAAUAUAAUUCUAACAUUUGGUGGUGGACAACAGUGUCACUAGGGAUCGUGAGUGAUUGUUGUGGAUAAGGAAAUCAUUAGUAAGAGAUGAGGGUCAUUCGACAUUAGCAUCAGUGUGAAUGCAAAUAUAGAGCCGCAUCGCUCGAUAACAAUUGCGUUGGCAUCAACGUAAUUGCCGAGCGACGAAAUGAUCAUUGAUGUAGAUGCAAAGCGACCUUUACCUUUCACUCAUGCCCUCCUUAUCCACAACAACCACACAUGACCCUCAUGCCACCAUCCGCUACUAUUGCCCUCCUUAUCCACAACAACAACCAUACAUGACCCUCAACGAUGUCACCAUUCGUUACUAUUGAUGUCGUCCAUCGUUACCGAUUGGAAUGUUAAAUUAUUUUUAUUUUUAUUUUAUUUUUAUAUUUUCGUUGAUAAAAUCGAUGAUGUUAGGGUAAAUGGAUCUAUACAUUUUUCUUUCAUAACUAUAAGAAUAUUAAUAUAAUUUUUUAAAAUAUAAAAAUUAAAAUAUUAAAGAUAAUUUAUAAUUAAUCUGGAGGUUCAAAGAGAAAGUGACGAAGGGAGGGGGAGGAGGGGCUGACUUGAGAAACAGAAAAGGAAUUUGAGGGUAAAACUGAUAAAAUCGAUGAUGUUAGGGUAAAUGGAUCUAUAUAUUUUUCUUUUAUAACUAUAAAAAUAUUAAUAUAAUUUUUUAAAAUAUAAAAAUUAAAAUAUUAAAGAUAGUUUAUAAUUAAUCCGGAGGUUCAAAGAGAAAGUAACGAAGGGAGGGGAAGAAGGAGGGGCUGACUUAAGAAACAAAAAAGGAAAUUGAGGGUAAAACUGAUAAAACCGAUGAUGUUAGGGUAAAUGGAUAUNNNNNNNNNNNNNNNNNNNNNNNNNNNNNNNNNNNNNNNNNNNNNNNNNNNNNNNNNNNNNNNNNNNNNNNNNNNNACUGAUAAAAUUGAUGAUGUUAGGGUAAAUGGAUCUAUAUAUUUUUCUUUCAUAACUAUAAGAAUAUUAAUAUAAUUUUUUAAAAUAUUAAAAAUUAAAAAUAUUAAAGAUAGUUUAUAAUUAAUCCGGAGGUUCAAAGAGACGAAGAGAGGGGGAGAAGGAGGGGCUGAUUUGAGAAACAGAAAAGGAAUUUAAGGGUAAAACUGAUAUUUACAAAAAAAAACACGUAAAUACAUAUGAUAAAAAUGAUAAAAACUAAUUAGUAAUGGUCUUUUUAGGCUGAUUAUCUAAAUAAAUAAAUACAACUAAAAUAUAAAUAAACCACUUCCUCGAUUCUGCGACACCUCGCCGCUUCUCUCUCUCUCUCUCUCUCGCUCGUCUUGUUCUCUCGGUCGGUCGCUCUCGCUCUCUGUCGUCCUCGUCCUUCGUAGAGAACGUCGAUGUGGCUUCUCCUUGUUUCGACCCUGCGUAGAUCGGCGAUCCGAAGUCGGAGCACCUACGCGCGGUUCGGCAGCUUCGCAGCGGCUGAGAAGGGGCGCGGACCGUCCGAUCGUGAUCUCGGGGCAAUCGGGAGCGCGGUCGUGGGGGUAUUGGCCGUCGGUGCAUCGGGGCUUGGACUCUGGUCGGUUUCUUCAUCCUCAUAUUUCCCCGGUUCUUCCCUUUACUUCGCCGACUCCGAUUUGGCGCAGAAGGAGCCCGACCUUCGGAUCGUGUCAAAUGAUGCGAAGAUAGAAAAGAAGCCCAAGUUUCUGUUACCAGGUCAGUCUUUGACUGUUUGUGUACGUUAAACGAUCCCAAUUACUCCGAUCAGCUUGGAUGAUACCGGUCCAGAUCGGGUGCGUCUCGUACCUGAAUCGGAUCCGCCAAGUAUGCGAAUGAACUCAGAUGAGAUGCAUACUAAAUCAGAUGAUUCGCUCUGCACUAUUAUUAGUAUUGCUUGGAUCACUAAUGUGCUGCGAUUGCAAUAUCGGAAAUAUAAACGAAUUAGUAUCACUCUUGCUUGCUGCCUCAUCCACAAAAUGACUUCGGAUAUAGGAAACCUUUUAUGCAUAAUUUUUGUUGAUAUUUAUAUUAGACUUAGUGUUUGUCUGUUUAUUUUGUGCAGAUUCAUAUCGUAGAAGGGUGUUCUUCAACUAUGAGAAACGGAUAAGAUUGCGAAGUUCUCCUGAAAAGGUAUUCUGUCGAGAAAUAUCCAUAUUUUGCUCAACUAUUUUGCAAGAUUUGUCCUUUUACUUAUUAUAGAUUCACGUCUUUGUUAAGUAUAACUAAUAGCCAUUUCAAUGUGUCCUUCUUGACAUGGUGAAAUGAUCUUUCUGGUUAGAAAUUAUUCUUCUCAAACUGCAGUGUCAUCUGAUGUUUAUCAGACAGGCGUGUGUGGUUGAAACAUCCAAUUUAGGUUUCCAUAGAUAACACUCCGCUUGUUACUCUCUACUGGGAUUCAUGUAGUGUCAAAUAUACUUUAUUUGUUGCAAGUAAAGGAUCAGCAUUCUUUUCUUCUUUUAUAUGGUCUGGUUAGGCCCAUAAUAGAACUUAGGUGGCCAUUACAUUAUUUUUCAAGAACUGAUCACCAGCUAUCGAGGGCCUAAAAACAUGGUAGUCCAGCUGGAACAUAAUGGUACAUCUAAGUUGGGCCAAAGCUUGUAGAUGCUAGCACUUCUAACCCCCAUCCAAACUAGAGGAACCUGGAAAACCAGCAAACAAGCUGUUGCAUCUGUUAACAGUGCAAUUGAAAUGCAAAAGUUUAGUGUUCUAAACAGGUAAUGUACCUUUGAACCAGCAAUCCAGUUGUUGCAUCUGUUAACAGUGCAAUAGAAAUCCUAAAGUUGAGGUGUGUCAAAAAGAUAAUAUUCUUAUUGGUAUGCAAAGUUAACUGUUGGGAUUUGGAGUUGUGCUCCAUUCCCCGGCAGAUCAUCAUUAGCAUCAAGUCAAUUAGGCUUUUUCUGAAGGAAAUGAAACAGAGAAGUGAGGGGUUUUGAUCAGCUAAUAUCCCAAUAGGGAUGCAACUUGAAGUUUAGUGUUUAUACUAUUUCAGCUGCGGUUGGUGUAGAUACCCAUGUGAUUGACUCGACUAAGAAAUGAAGAAUUAUCAAGUACUCGACAUAACAGAUUUUCUUAAUACACCAUCUAAUGAUUGCUAUAUUACCAGUUACUCAUCCAAAACUAGUUCAAAUCAGUUAAGCAACUGACCGAAACCCUCAAUGUUCUCAGGUAUGUAGUUCGCUCAUAUUUUUCCCAUAAAAAUCACUAUUUCAUCACAAAUACCAGUAAUCAAUCAUGUAUAUAUUGUACAGUGUACACAUAAAAGUUGAAUUUUGUUAUUGUUUCUGGAACAACUUCAGAGUAUUGUAGUCCAAAAUGGUAGGAGUGUUUUCGUUGUAUUGACUUUUAAGCAAUCACUGGAUGAUUUUUUUCUCUGUAAAAACUCAAAAUUAAUGUUUUUCCAACACAAAGUCAGUGAAGAUAAACUCCAUUAUGGAUUAAAUGUCUUUUGUUGCAUCAUCUAGGCAAAAGGAAACAAUUUUCAGUGGAGAAAAUUUUGUUCCUGCUAUGCAAUAGCUCCAUAACACAAUAGGUUUACUUCUUAGAAUUUCACAUGUAUAUUUGUUAGCAUCUGAUGUUAGUCUUCAUGUACAUUCAUUUCCAAACUUAGUGCUUGUUGGUAUGUAGAUAUGUACAAAUUACCAGAAUCCAAAUUUCUCUAUUUAGUCCUUAUUUUCUUCUAUUCUAUAUUUGGUUUUGCCUUACUGUUUUUAUAUGGUAUUAUAAUGUAAUACAAUUCAGUAGUAUGUUUUAAACUUGACUUGUUUUCCAUGUUUUCUUUAUAGAUUUUCGAAUAUUUCGCAACAUCUAAGAACACAAAAGGAGAAAUAUGUAUGACACCUGCAGAUUUUAUGCGAGCAGUUGUUACUGUUUUUCCUCCAUCAGAAUCCAAUAUUGUUAGAGAAGGAUAUUUGAGAGGGGAGCGUGUUCCUGGGGAAUUGCAUUGCGCGCCAUCUUCCUUUUUUAUGCUUUUUGAUACUGAUAGUGAUGGACUAAUAUCCUUCCCAGAGUAAGUCAAAGAUGUCUGUGUUUUUUUUUUUUUCCUUUUUAUCCAUUUAUUUCUUCAAGCUCGUUUUAAGCACAGGGCAGUUUUGUUGUUUCUCAACCUACAUUUUGCCUUGUUACCAGGUACAUAUUCUUUGUGACCUUGCUUAGCAUUCCUGAAUCAAGCUUCAGUGUGGCUUUCAAAAUGUUUGAUCUUGACAAUAAUGGGUAGGUUUUGUUCCUCGUGCAUGAAGUUUUGUUCCUUUCUUUUACAGAAAUUGUUCCCCCUGUCUUGUUAACCAUUUUAUUUGCAUCAUUAAUGAAACUCUUUCCUGUGGUUCCUCAAGAAAAACAAAGACUUUGAAACAAGCAUAGCCAAGCUGAAACAUGUUGUGCUGAAUAUAUACCUUGGGCCUUUAUAUUCAUAACAAUGUCAUGCUUGCUUUUGGUACUGUAGAAAAAAAUCUUGAUCAAACUUAUAUCCUAUAUUUGCCCAAUGGAUAGAAUAUGCUCAUGGUAAGAAUUCAUAUGGGUUUGAUGUACUCUUAUCUUCGACGAAUGACCCUGCAUUGAGCCAGCAUUCAAUGAGGUUAGUUAUAUAUAUAUAUAUAUAUAUAUAUAUAUAUAUAUAUAUGUCAAAAUCCCCGAUAAAGGAUUUUAGUUUCGAAUGAAACCGCCCGUACCGGGCAGUAUCGUUGAUCUAUCCUUGUAUCGAACGAUAUGGGGUUGUAUCGGGUGGUAACGGUCGAUAUUUCCAUCGUUACCGCUUGAAAUAGGUCGAUAACGAUUGAUUUCGACUGUUGCCACGCACUACCGAGCGGUAUCUACCUAGUUGCGACAAGGGAAGAAGAAACCUUGAGGGAGAAGAGGGAGAAGAAGAGGGAGAAUCGGGAGAACCUCGACGCUUCCCGAUCCGAUGCCGCCCUCCCUCGACGAUCCAGAUCCAGGAGGUAACGGAGAGGCGAUGACUCGGCUUCUUCGUCGCAUUCUUCGCCAAAGGUUGGAGAUGUCUGCAGCCUUCGACGUCUUCGUCGAAUGCCGCAUAUGAGGAGAAGGUCAUGUUCUUCUCCUCGUCCGAUGCGACGAGAAGAAAAGGAGGUGACGUCGUCGAGGCAACAUACGCCUCCUUUUUAUUUUUAUAUUUUUUAUAUUAUAUAUAUACACGUACCAAGUUGUACAACCUAGCGUACUGCUCGAUACGCUCAUAUCGUACUGUACCGAGCAAAGCUUGAUAUGUCGGUAUGAUACGAAAUUGUGAACCUUGAUAUAUAUAUAUAUAUACAUAUAUAUAUAUAUAUAUAUACAUAUAUAUAUAUAUAUAUAUAUAUAUUUGCCUAACUAUGAUCUUUGUGUUUAGAGCUAAAAGUGUUGUGAUGUGUCCUUGCCAUCCUAGAGCGAGUCCGUUGUUGGCAUGUGGCAUAGAAACCAAUGUACCGAUCAGCUGUCAGUACGAUAUGUACUGAGUUAUACCGAGUGUAUCGACACACGGAACACUAAGAUGUAUUGAUGUACUGCCCAUACUAAUCCUUUAUCGGACCAGUAUAUACCACCCGUACCGAGCGGUAUGGUACAGUAUUAAAAACCAUGGUAGAAAUCGAUGUUUUGGAAUGUAUUCUCAAUUUAGAAAAGAGUAAAGUUUCAUAUAUAGCUGUAACCUUUUAUGUGCUUGAUUUACUAGGUAAUUUUAAAAAUUUUUACAAUAACUGUAAUUCACAUCAGAUUCAGAAAGCUAUUGUUAUUUUUUUUAUAGCAGGAAAGGGCCUGUUUUUAAGCCUUUGAAACGUUGACUACAUAAAAAUUAAGGUAAUCCAUUGACUUCUUCUAAGUUUUUGUACACUUUUAAGCUUUGCUUCAUACUGAGAGGAAGCCUUAUUCUGACUUCACUGGCCAAUCUGAAUUGAAUGGUCAGUAGAAAAUUCUGCAACCUCAGCAUUUCCUUGUGGUUAAAUGAUGAAACAAAGAUAGAUCUGAAGUAUUUCAUUAGUUGGCAAUUUAGUAGCUUGUCCUACUUUUUAAAAUUUCUGAUAAAAAAUCCUUCAUAUCAAUUUUAGGCGAUCGUUGUAGGGUACAUGGCUUGAUAAUAUUGUUUAGAUUGCGCUUUGCCACGUGUGACUAGGGGUUGAGUCACCAAAGUCUCCCUAACCCAUAGAGUUAAGACCUACUUGGGGAGUUAAUGCUUCUUAUGUUGACCAUCCCUUAUCCUCACUGGCAAGAGCCUCAUACACUAUGCCACAUUCUCUGUUAUAAUGAUUUUGUGACUGUUUCUUGUUAUUCUCAAGGGAAAAAUAUCUUCAUCGGUCAGAUAAAUUGUUUUAGCUUGCAAACAGUCUUAACUUAUGGAAACAUUAUCAUCUUUUUAUCUGGAUUCAUAUUAUUUUCUUAUUCUGAUACUGAGUCUUAUUAUUUAAUCACAUUUGAUAGUACUCCAUUUGCAAUUCUUUUGCUGUAUUAUUUAUCUAUAUAUUUUUUAUUACCAUGUUUAUAUUUGGAUCAAUUGCAUGUGUUUAAAUUCAUUUGCAUCCAAAUAACGCUGCUCUUUCUGAGCUGUGCAAUUGCUGCUAAUGAUCUAGUUGUUGUUACAAGAAGGGUAUGAACAAUUUAAUUAAGUUUCUUGGUGCUUGUACAUGGAUGCUAAUGGCUUUUUAUAUCUUUUUUUCCAGAGAGAUAAAAAGAGAAGAGUUUAUGAAAGUGAUAGGAUUAAUGCAUUCUUAUAAUAGACAAGGGGUUUCUCAUAGUAAUGGCCUUCGCUUUGGUCUAAAAGUUGGUGGCUUUAUUGAGAAUGGUGGUCUGCUGCAAUCUUUCUUUGGCAAGGAUGGGACAGGCUGCCUCCAACAUGAUACAUUUGUUCAAUUUCUUAGGGACUUACAUGAUGAGGUACUUCAUGCCACUCAUUGAUCUGAAGUCAUAAUUAUGACCUUUCUGUGGUUUUCUCUUCCAUUUGAGUGUCUUAUACAUAUAGCUACCUAAAAUUGUAAUACUAAUCCUUAUAUUUUAGUAAAUGGUUGUCCUAUUAUCUCAAGCUAUCAUUUGACCAGAUGCUUUUAAUGCAUAAAAUGUUAGUAGAUAAGCUCAUUAGCCGAAUGAGUGUGGAGGUUAAUGGGGUAGCAACAAAGAGAGAACCAUCAUAGUAGAACAUUAAUUUCAAACUCUGUCUUAGGUUAUUUUUGUGGCUGUUGUUUCUUGUAUGGCUAAAAGUAGGAAGUGAAAGCAAGAUUGAUUGGAUUAACUGCUUUCUUAUGAAAUUAAUUCAACCAUUUAAUCUCACAUUUAGAGUGGUAGUAGAUCUAGUUUAGACAGCUGGCUGCAUAAUGUCAUUACUAAUCAGGAUUUUGCAUCAGUGUCCGAGUCAGGAGAAACUCGCCUUGGACAAUCUCACCCUUUGGCUGAGCCUUCUAGAACGGUCCAACCAGAACUUUUUGCACCAAAGGGUCAUAUUGAGAACUUAAGAAUCUAAAUCAGGAGACAGUUUCAUAGAAGUUAAGACAUUUCUCAUAAUGAUCAUUCUACGACAGAUUCACAAGAAUUUUUGCUUGAGCUUCUAACAGAAGGAACCGUCUUCUCUAUUCAAUAUGGCUUCUUUCUACUUACUGCUUCUUGCAAUGUGAUCCAAUGUCAUGUAGUCUCCUAUUCAACUCGGAUGGUAUAGUAUGGACUAUGGAGACUUCAUUCAACUCAAGCCUUAUGUUCGUGCCUUCAGGCAUGCAAGUGCUUGUCAUUGCAGAUUGGCAUGUGUGACAAGGCAAUUCAUAAAGAAUUGGAUCUUUUGGAUACUUAUUUUGAACAUAUUACUUCGAUUAAUUUGCAAAAGCCAACUCCUAAAAGUUACUGCUAUCGAUUACGAUUCAAAACUUAUCAUGGGUUUAGGCUUGGAAUCAGAAUUUGGGAUCGGAAUUAUGCUGGAUGUCUGGAUCAAGGCCUGAACAGAUUCCUGUCUGAUUACAAUUGAAGUCGUUCACCCCCUUCCCCUGGCGUGUUCCACAGAUUCUGCCUGAUCUUUGAUCUCUUGAGGGUUUCAGUAUACCAGCACUUUUUGGAAUUAAUAAAUCAAGAUUUACAUCUUUUAUAAAUCAAUAUUCAUAAUAUUUUCUUAGCUUCUGUGUUUUGCUAUCACUAGUUCUUGUUAAAGUAUUCAAUAUAUGUGCAACAUAAUAAAUGAUUAAACUGUUGGUUUCUGAGAUAUUCUAGGUCCUGAGCCUUGUUGUCUCGUUUUAGUGAUGGACUAGUCUUCCAAGAUUUGCCUAGGAUAGAAAGAGGUGUGGAUGGGUUUGGAAGUUUGAAGGUCUAGUCUCAUUCUCACUUUUCUUUUGUUACCAGGAUUUUUAAUACUGAAAGUGUUUUGACUAUGUUUUAUGAAGAGCCAUAACCUGUUUAGGUCGUUAUAUUAGUUUAAAAUUUUAGAAUCUAAAUCUUGAAGAGUAUAAAAUUAUUUAAAUUCAAUAUUGUUAAUUCUAGAAAUUUUGAUGUCAGUUAUUAAGAUACGUGUCCAGGCUCGUUGUUACAUCUGCUUGCAUAUUUAUUAUGUACUCACUGUUAGUUUCUUUAGUUUUUGGUCUAAUAUUUUAGUAUUGUAGCUUGAAGUAUCAUCACAACCAUUGGUACAUAAUGAUUUUAUCAAUAUUCUAGGUUUGGAUUCAUCUACAUGGCUCAUGAAGGGCUUUAAUGAUACUUCCAUAAAAAGUUGCUUGUACAUAGCAUUUGGAUACAUAUCACAAACAUUUUACUUUCUUUUGUAAAUGGUUAACUGGUUUCUGAACUUGAAUAUCAUUUAUCAUUCACUUUACAAAUUUAUAAAGAUUAAUUUUAAUUGUCGGCUACUGCCUUUUGCUUCUAAUAAAAUUUACGCUGUUCAGAUUGUGCAUUUGGAAUUUGCACAUUAUGACUUCAAGUCAAGGGGAACUAUUUCAGCUAAGGAUUUUGCACUAUCAAUGGUUGCUUCAGCAGACAUGAACCAUAUAAACAAGUUACUAGAUCAAGUGGAUGAAUUGGAUAAUAACCCUUCUGUGAGAGAUAUUCGUAUUACCUUUGAGGUAAGACUAUUCUUGUACUCCUUCAGAUCUUAGCCUCUUGAUCUUCUUGUUAACCUCAAAAUUUCUCAAUGUCCAGGAAUUCAAGGCUUUUGCAGAACUACGUAAAAGAUUGAAACCCUUGACUCUAGCUAUCUUUAGUUACGGGAAAGUGAAUGGCUUGUUGACAAAGCAGGACUUUAUACGAGCAGCAUCCCACGUAAGAUCAACUCUUUUAUCUUUGUGUACUUCUUUUAGUUUCUAAUUGUUGAAGAUUAUUAGCUGGUUUUUCAGCCGGUAGGAAAAGUGUGAGCCUUGUGGUAAAUGUGAUGCCAUUGUAUAUGAAUUAUGUUUCGGGUAAAAACAAAAUGCAUUGGAUCAUUGUACAGGUAAUGUAUAUGACACUGGUGGCUUUCAAAAUGUUGGUGCCCUUCUAUAUGAAUUUUGUUCAUCUGAUGUAACUUUUGUAUUUCUUUCUUAGUCUAACCUUUAAAUGUAUUACCAGAACUAUUACCAUUUGCAUUUUUAUUGUGAAUCAUCUGUGUAUUCACUCUGCAUAUCUGAUGAUAUGAUUUAUCUAUAUGUUAUACAAAAUAAGAAUACAUGGUUAUUACUUGUAGAUAUGCUUGCUGUCUUUAAACAAAGUCUUGUGCAACUGAAACAUGGCCUUUUGUUCAGAGCAAAUCUUGCUGUUUGUAAUAUCAGGAUUCCCUUUUGCGUCCACUUGUCGAUAAAGUUGGGAUAUGGAUAUUAGUCUAUUUAACUAAUUCUUAGUCUAUCGACAAUCCAUUCCUCCAUUUAUUUUUUAGACUUUUUGCCUGAACUGUCUAUAUCUUUUCUUGGACUCAUUACAUAUGACCAGCAAUAAAUUUUUGGUUGUUAUGAUAUAUGCUUCUGGUUUUCCUGAGUGCUGAUGAAUGAGCUCGUUUGGUAUCAAUUGGAUAUUUUUUUCUUUAUAUUGGAUGAGAGUUGUCGAAUAUGAAAUUAAAAAAGCUACCUUCGUGAUGAUAGGUUUGUGGUGUCUCUUUGACUGAAAACGUGGUUGAGAUCAUCUUCCACAUCUUCGACACAAAUCGCGAUGGGAGCUUAAGCUCAGAGGAGUUCUUAAGAGCCGUGCAACGACGAGAAACUGAUAUUCGCGAGCCUAGCUCAACAGGCAUCAUGGGGCUCUUAUCAUGCUGGCUGCACUGCAGAAGGCACUGCUCCUCGUCGCAACUGUUUGGUUAAAAGCGGACCCGUGAACACAAAGGGGGAUGCAGUGUUCAGAGCUGGCAGACUUUAUUAAUGGGGAAGAAAUAUUUGGAUAGACACGAUUCCUUCCUCUCGUGUGUGUUGCAUAUUGUGUCAUGUCGAUAAUGUGUAAGGUUGUCGUCGGGAUCGAGGAGACUAGAUUUCUUGAUCCCUUUUGAUGUUCAUUAGAUUUCCUUAAAUAGAAUCUAUGAUUUGCACAUAAACUUGUUAUUUUUCUUAGUGUCUUAACUCGCGUCGUCGGACUGCUGUCAAUUAUGUAAUGAGUUGGACUCAUUGCACAUAAAAUUGGCAUGGAUAUUUUUCUGGCAAUUUUAUGUGCAAAUUUCUGUUGAUGACAGUAAUUGUUGAUAAGUCUUUUUAGUCAAUGAGAUUGCUGUUGGAAAUCAUGCCUUCGGAUGAUUGCAUCAACCAAAGUUCAGAUGUCUGAGUGAGGUUUUGUGAUCCAACCCAGCUUGUUCGCAAGCACUUUCUUGGAGCCUUCUUCGGCAAAGAUGGAAGAGAAACGUAAAAUCCAUCUUCUUGUAAUCCAAUUGCCUGUGUGAUGGGCACAGAUGUUUCGAUACAGGAAGAUUAGUUUCUUGUUUGGCAAUUUUCAUAAUUAUUAACAUUAUCCUUAGUUUGAUAAGGGAGGAUUUAAUACUGACCAAAUGACAACAAGAAACACAAUACAAUGAUAAAUUAAAUAUUAUUUGGCACUUGUCAAUAUGAUCCUCUACUGGUAUUUCGUUGUUGUAAUACUUGAGUUUUUGAAAUGCCAUCAAACACAAGAUACUAUCAAAAUCCACCAUCCUGCCUUUGACUUGAUGCUGUCUUCUUCUUCACUAUGGAGAAACAAUAAAUUAAUAGUUUGACCUUUACAGGAUGAAGUUAAUCCUGACCGCUGUGCUCUACAAAGACCAGCCGAAAGAAACUUAAUCGUACAUGUUAUGUUGACAAAUGUGAAGCUUAAUCAUGCAUGUUAUGUUGACAAAUGUGCUCGACAAAAGUGUUGAGAAGCAAGCAACAUUGAAAGGAUCAAACUUCAUUCAGGUCCACUCAGUCUACAAGUAAUUUAUACUUUUUAUUUCUAUAAAGUGCACCAAUCAAAACAAAAGAACGGCACAAGACUUCAUAUGUUUUUUCUUAUCAUUCAAUAACAGAGUACCAAACAAUGAUAUCACUCGAAUCUCUACAGCAAAAAUUAGGAAUGCCUAAUCAUGUAAAGAAGCAUAUGUAAUAGACCAGCAACCAUCACAAGCAUUAGUUCGGUCUAUCCUUGUUAGCUUACAUCUGCUCCUGAAACUUUGGAUAGAUAGGCUUCUGUGAAAGGAAAAGUUUGUGAUGGAUGUCGUGGUACACUGUAAGAUGGGAGAAUUGGUCACUUUAAUCAGGGCUUCUCGAUGUCGAGUCUUUCUGAAUUGAGAGAGCUUUUAGAAAGUCCAAUGCAAACUGUAAGUCCAUUGUCAAAAUGAUCUUCCUAUAGUGUCACGACAAACAACCAGGAAAGUAUAGAGUCACGAAGCUGGGUUGCAACACCUGAGUUCCAUUGUUCCUCAAGCCAUGGAACAUACUUUUUCUGGUAAAGAGUUCAAGAUGAUGAACAAACAAGAUUAAGAACAUUAAGCAUUUUGUAGACAAUGGGUUGAAAUGUGACUUAAGAGAUUAGUUACCUUGUCUAGAACUGCUACAGCAAAGAUGAUCAUCGUCCACAUAUGUUGCGUCGAGACCAAUUAUCCAGGAACCUACUGAUGUAUCAUCAUGAGCAUAUGUCUGGAGAGAUGCACUGCAAGAUGGUGAGAUUAAAAGUCAACUUUACAUUCAAAUAAAUGCUUUUAUCCUACUUCAGGACAGGUUUAUCCUUCUUUCCAAUGUGGGAUGUCUGCAUGGAUUAUGAAACACUCGCAGAAAUUAGCAUUUGUCCUUCCACUAUUGUGGACCUAUAGUUCAUUCUACUUGUGACUGCCUAUAUAAGAUCCAUACUUCAACAAAUGUAAAGAACAAAAAUGAAAAAUGACACAACCAAUGCACAAGGCUCCUGCCAAUGCAAGUCUAGGGAGGAUCAAUGUAAAGAACAAAUCUGAGUAAGAAUUAAUGCAAAGAACAAACCAAGAAUAUCAAAGUCUGACUAACGUCAACAUGGUGGAAGCUUCUGAUUGUGAUUGUGCAAGCAGUAAAGCAGAAGCCAGAAGGCAGCCUACCUUAUCUCCAUGUCUUAUACAACUGACAUAAUUCAUUGAAUAAUGAAACAUUCUAAACCAGCUCACGACCGAUAAAUUGCAGAUCAGCUUAUGAUGACACAUGGAUAAAAUAUGAAGCAUGAUGACUUCUAGAUUGCACAAUCAUAGCAACAAUUUCAAUAAAAUACCAACAAAAUUUAGGGAUCCACACAUGAUCAAUUUUAGUGAACAAAUUUACAUACAUUGUUAAAUCUGCAGCUUCUCCACUUGCAACAUGAAUCUUGUGAUCACUUAAAUAAGCAGAUAUAGGCUUUCAACAUACAGAAGAACAUAAUAAGACAACUUCCUGCAACUGAAGAUAUGCCAAUACAAGUAUAAAAAGUACAAUUCUCUAUUUUUCCCUAAAUUAGAAAUUUAAGUUCUUAUAGAUAAAAGGAAUUGCUUCAAAGAAACUAGGAUGUCCACCAAGUAAUAUCAAGUGAACAAAAUAAUAAUAUUUAAGCUAGUGAAAAAGAAAAGGUCACUGAUUCCAUGAACUCACCUGUUUAUGUUGAUGUAACGAGCUAAAUUAUUUGAUAAUAUAAUAAGAGAACCAGCAGCAUGACGGAAAUACCUGAGCAGCAAAAAGCAUUCAUAUAGAAAGCUAAUACCAUAAAAGAAGCACUAUGAUAAGAAAUUGUAUUGCUGCAUAAAAUACAACUUAAAUUUUUUGCCUAGUGAAUCUAAAAGAAUAGCAUGCAAAGGCCAUAAUUGUAUAUUUACAUUCUGUGGUUGACUUAUCCACAAUAUUUGACUCAAUGAAUUAGUAGUUAUUCACUAUUUCAGGUAGAAAUUUGGCAUAUAUUAGCAAUAGCAUAACAAAGAGUUAAAAGCAAAAAAUGCAAACAGUAUAAAGGUACUCAGCUAUUAGGAUAGGAAGUACUUGAAAGUUGAAAUGAAGAAGAAAACAGACUGUGUUACUUUUUUGUUCCAAGAUAAGGACAAAACUGAUUCUUGGUCGAAGAGGAAAUUGUACAACCAAUUUAUUUGAAGUUCAUAGAUUAUCUAAUUUGACUUGACUUCCUGUUGGAUUUUUUACAGAAAUUAGACUCUUGAACAAUACUUUGAUCUAUAUCAGUAUCACCACUGACCAAUCCGGUAUUUGCCGAAUUUCUGCGUCUUAUAGACAGAAAUCAGUGAGGAUCAACUUAAAAUCAAUCAAACUCAACUGAACUUGGCUAAUUUGGACCCAUCUAACACCCACAAAAGUUAGAAAAGAAAAAAGGAAGAGUGUACGGGUAGAAUGGAAAAAAGGAGAAGACAGUAUAAAGACCAAGGAGUGCUUGCUGAGAAAAAUACACACUUAAUAAUUAUUAUGUUGUUUAAACACAUGGCUUCAUUAAAAAUAUUAUUUUAAUUGUUCCAAUUGGCAGGAACCUCAUGCACUAGAUAUAGAUAUACCCUUUUACCUGAUUGAAGCUUCAAAUAAUAUUUGCAGUUUGAUGACAAGGUGUUGUUUAUGACUAAAGUUUGUAUUAUGAUGUCCAUGGCAAGAGCAUGUCCAUGUUUUCUGCGAACCAACUACAAUAAUUCAAUUUCUUUAGUUUGGUAACCAGACCUUUCUUUCAUCUUCAACAUAAAUCCAUUGAUAAAUUCAAAUUUCAUAUAUACAAAUAGAUAGGAUGUACUAUAAAUUGUAGUACUUCAAAACAAAAAAUGAAAUUUUGGAUUACAAAUGUGUAUCGGUCGAUUAUCUGGACAGAACAGAUAGGAUGUACUAUAAAUUUUAGUACAUCAAAGCAAAAAAUGAAAUUUUGGAUACCAAAUGUGUAUCGGUCGAUUAUCUGGACAGAACAGGUCCAAAACAUGCAGGCAUACCGAAACAUAUUGGACCACAGUGCCAUUCCGCUAGAGGAGGGAAAAUGCAGGGGGAAGAAAGAAAGAAGAAGAAUAAAGAGGAAGGAAGAAGAGAGGAAAUGAAGAUGAAGAAGAGAAGUAAAAGAGGAGAAGGAUAAUUACUGAAGAUGAAGGUGUAGUGGGCUGCAGGUGAUGCACGGACACGCAUCAAGUUGAGCAGAGGGCGAUGGCAUGAAGACGACACAGGCUCAUGGUGAGUCAUGAGGACUAAGACAAAACACCUGCUGUCUUUAAAAAACACAACCCUGCUGUUUUAAGAAAAAGGAAACAAAAUGCUGGAAAUGGGUGGUCUAAGGUCUGGGUUCAUGCUCGAACCAGUAUAUGAGUCGACAAGGACCGGUCAAAGUGAAAUUGGAUUCCCCGCUUCAAAGCAAGGCUUCAAUAUCAGUCACUCCUAUUUGUAUCAACCAUGUUUACUGUUUCAAUCAAGGGCUGAUAAAAAACUAGCAAAUUGAUAUUUAUUUUUAAUUAUUUUUUCCCAAUGAUACUGAGCAACAUAAGCCAACAUGACAUCCAGAAUAUUAAUAUCAUAUUAGUCUAGUAUCAAAACAAUAAUUAAAUCAUUACUUUGAAACAUUAUUUUUUAGUACAAAGGCAAUAACUUUGAAUGUAACCAAGUUUUGCUGAAAUAGAAAUAGAAUGAUAUAACAAAUGCACUUACGACUUUGCUUCUCCAAAUUUCCACCACUCAGGUUCAUACCACUGUCUUCCCCUGAAUAUAGAAAGAUGGACAAAUGUUAAAAAUAUAUUGAAAUUUUACAUGCUCAAGAUGAGAUUGAUUUACCCUAAUAAAUGCAAAUUUAGUUCUAUCGGACAUACUCUAACGGAGGCCUGUGAGUAAAAAAAGAUAUACGUAGCCUAAAUUUGUUGCAUUAACAGUCUUUAGGAAGUGAGAUUUGUAAAGAAUGAUCCACAAGUUGUCAUGAGAAUUGCACAUGAAAACUAAACUAAGAAGAAUGCAAUGGCACAAAAGCCAAUGUGCACAAGUUAAUCAAUAUUGCAAAUACUCAACUUCUAGCAUGAUUGAGUUGGAAAAAUGUUCAUAUAUAAUGAAUUCAAUUAAACAACUGACAUAUUCGCUAGUGGUUAUUCUGGAAGAUAAUGUCAAAUGAGAGCAAGUGCACUGAUAGCAUUACAGUAUUGGAGAAUUUCAGAAUUUAUCACAAAAUAAGUAACAUAUUGAUAGAUGCUUUCUUUUGUCAUUUUCUUUUUAAAGAUUUCCUCUUUCUGCCACUGAGCUUUAUUAAUUCUCUCUUUAUCAUUUUCCCUCUCCUCCAGUCUAGUGUCCCUGAACACUUUCCAAAAAUGCAAUUCUAUAGGUCAAUCAUGUUAACAGCAUCAAUUAUUCCCAUGUACCUCAUGUUCUACAGAUAUAGUUACAUUACAAAAUACAAACAUAUUAUAAGAGCUUUUACUCUUGAAUUUUUGAAUUUACAUAAUCCUUGUUAUUAUGAGGUCAUCAUGAGAAAAUGUACUACUAAUUACAACUACGAAAUUAUGAAUGAGGAUUUUAUCACACAUCCUCAAUUGUAAAUCAUGUCAAUUUGCUAAUUCAAAUAAUGUACCCUGUCCAUAAGGUUUUGCAACUCUGAAUUAUGAUUGCAAGUGCUCGCCUUGCUAGGAUUUUUAUCUGAAUGAUGAACUAUUAUUUUGCAAUUAUGAACAUAAAACUGAAUUCUGAUUUUGACUAGAACACAAGAAGUAGGCGAUUUAGGUAGCCGUGCAGAUCAACGGGUUUCUGAUUUUGAAUUGAUCAUGCUUCAUAUUUCAAUUCCCUUUGAAAUGAAGAUUGUAGUAAACAUUGAACACAAAUUUUUAAGCAUCAACUAAAAAUAGUUAAUAUAUUCUUAGGCAAAAACAAGACCAAUUACAGCAUGAUCAUACCCUUGCCAAGUUUUAACCACAUGUACUUGACAAAUUAGACAAUUAAAGCUAUAAAGCAUGGAUAAAAAUAAUAAUACAUUAAUAAUAGCACAUACAGAAUAUGCUGAUAUGUAUAACUUUUUUUAAAUUAUUUUCCUUGUUAAACACUCUGACUACAUGUAAUUUGCAACUCAAAUGAUUAAGGCUAUGAAAAAUGCAUACAGAUACUGGAUAUUGAUAUGACAUAUAGAGAUUGAGUCAAUAUACACAACUUUAUUUCUGUAGUUCUUUUCCUUGGUAUACAUUUUGACUACAUGUACUUUGCAGAUAAAACAAUUAAAGCUAUGAAGUACUUCAAGAAUGUACAGAAGAUAAAAAUUAAUAAUAACGAAUGAACUAAGAUCAUAACUCAUGAUCUGAUGCUUAAUACCAACAACACGAAACAAUGUAUAAUUAUAGAUUCACCUCAUUGUAUCUAAAAAAAUCAACAUUCAUGAAAAAAAUAAACUGCUCCCAAUCAGUGUCCAUGAGUUGUCCUAAAAAUAUUUGAUAUCUGGCAUGAAUCUAAGAAGUAGUGUAGGUACAUAGUACCUGAUACAAAUUUCAAGGAAUUUGAAUUACAUCUAAUCUUUUAUGUAUAUUCUCAUUCUGAGUUGUCAUCACUGAAAAGGACAUUGAUUUGUUGAGUUUCACCACCUAAUGAAAUUAAACAAAAUUUAAACAAGCAGUCUGUGUAAUACACUUGUUCUUGCAUUAAAAUAAUUACUUAGGUUACAAACUAAAGAAAAAAAGUCAAAUAUAGGGAAAUAUUACAGAUUGAAAAAACCAUGUCAAUGGUGUUAUAGAUAUUAUUAAUAAUUAAUUAUCUGUCCUUGAUGCACACAACGCCUUUCCAAAACCAAUUUUCUAGUAAUUAGAAGAAGCUAUAUAGCUACAGUCUUCUGGAUUCUGUAAUAUCAUAAAAGAAAAUAAAUAUUGGAUCACUAAAGUAAACCAAUAAGGUUAACAAUUUAACAAUGCCAUCAAAUAUGUUAUUGUCCAUUAAAACUGAAGGGGAGCAUAAUUUUUGCAGUAUAUGAAGAAUUUACAGAUAUCAUCAAUAAUAUUGUUCAAAAGUUGAAGAAUAUACUCUUCACUUAUGACACCACCAGACUUCAUGCAGCCCAUGUACAAGCCAUGGCCUCCACGACGUUUUUCAAGAAUCUCUAUUAAUCCAUCUGAUAGACACAAACAGGAGCAAACAUUAAAAUGUUCAUUUAAACUAAUUGCAAAAAAUAUGAAUUUUUAAUCAUCAAAUAAAAUUGGAGUAUAAUAUCUUACCUAGAUCAAGAUUAAUAUUAUCAUCAACCUUAACAUAGAACUCGGCAUCCCAUGAUUCAACUGCUGAGCUGAAGAAGAAUUUAGCUUUUCUAGGCAACUCUUCUGCAGCUUCCUCAUGACUUUCCUAAAAGACAAAUGAAAUAUCCUUAUGGAUAUAAGAGUAAUGACAAUUGUAAAUUAAGAAAACUAAAAUGAGAGUAAUGCACUAAAAUGUAGUCAGAUUACUACCAUAUAUAAAUUAUCAGAAGUUAACAUAGUAGAUUUUCUAUAUUCAUCGGUAAUUUAGUUGUGAAUAUAGUAGUCUAUGAAGCAGAAAAGAAAGAUCUGGUAGGAUAAUUCACAAACCAGAUUCCUUUGAAAAAAAAAACGAUUCCAUUUAUGCUACAAAUGUUACUGAUGCAUGUCAGACAACAACUAUUGUGAUAAGCAUAAACCAGUUUAUAAGAAACUCAAGUUUAUGUUAACCAAUCUGCAGAUGAAUUUAUUUUUAGUAAUAGUACCUACUCAAGUCUACAAAUGAUCUUAGCAAAACCAUUUUGCAACAUUAAGCAUAAGAGCACAUAGAUAUGUCAUUGAAGUUGAUAUGAUCAAUGUUCACCACCCAAUUGUUGGGUGAGAGUUGACGCAUGGGCGCCAAGCUGUCAGAAAAUGAUAAAACAAUCCAGCCAAUCUCGCCACAUCACCAAAAAUUAGAACAAAAAAUAUUCUAUGAAUCAAGGAUGACUAAGAUAAUGUUUCCCAAUCUAUAAACAGGGGUUCCACAAGGUACAGAGAGGUUCCACAAGAUAAUAUUCUUCUUCUUCUUCUUCUCCUACCCCAAGGUUCCACCUCAAACCAUUUGCAGGAAAGGCGCAAGAACCUGACCCUCGAGAUUCCUGCCACCAAAUCGAUUCUCAAAGUGCAGGAUAAUUCAAGGCGGUCCAGGUGAGAUUGUUCCAUAAUUCGGAUUGAUAACUGACCACCAAACCAACAGAAGUUAUUUUUGAAUUUUUUGUUCUCAAACACAGAUUAUUAUGCAUGAUUGAACCAUGACAGAUGCAUGCCAAACUUAAUAAAAAAGGAAAAGGUGAUAAUGACAGAAUCUUUUCUAGUCAAGAGUUGUUAAGAAUAUAAGGUAGUAUAACACAGAGGAAUAUAUGGAAACUGAAGACAGGUUCUUUGUUAAAUUAGAGAAGAUAUUCAAAUACUUCAUUCAUAAGCAUUAGCAUUAUCAAAAAGAAAGAACUUCAGUUUCCGACAUCAACCUGCAUAAGUAUCCUUUACAAAAUUAUCCAUUCAUGAGCAUAACAAAAGAUCAUAACUUACAAGAAUCAAGAAAUCCUUUGUCUGGCGAUUUUCAUCAUCAAUAUUACGGUCUAAGCUAUCACCUCGAUUAGCACUGCAAAUAGAAAGUUUGUGUUGCGAAAUAAGAUAUAUAGCAAAAUCUUCAUAACAACAUGACUACACACACACAGGAGCACCUCGAGUAUCACUCACAGCCUAAGCAUCUUGCCAGAGAAAAUCAUAAGGUUGUAAAUCAGAAUCAGAAGAACAAUCAACAUAUCAAGGAAAUCUAUAACUUAAGAACUUUGGAAAAGACCUUCGACCAAUUACAAAUCGGAUGACAACACCCUUUUCCUCAAGCUUCCUCAAGGCAUCGCCUGCAAAGGCAUGAAAUAGUACUUCACUAAAAUAUACACCGGAAAACUAAAUUGUAAAAUUCAUAUUAGUCACUGCUGUGUGAGCAUCAAGAUCCAUGUCCUUACAAGAUAGUAUGCAUUGAAAAGUAAGCUUCAACCCUUAAAGAUACUUUCACCAUAAAACAAUUGAACUUUAACGCCCAAAACCAUGAUACGUGGAGCUCAUUAAAUAAAUAGUGCAUAUGGAUGUCAAGCCAUGAUGGAAUGUAUAGCUUUUUAUCUUAUUUAUGCUAGUAGCAGUCACAAGCUUCGCGACGUUGUAAAAGACACUAAAUAACCUGUCAGUUAGUGCAUCCAAUUGAAACCAUCCAUUAAAAAGGCUUUAAGGCACUAAUGAUUUAGUUGCCAAUUACAUCGAAGAAAAGAAAAACUAUACUAAUAGUUCAUGGAAAUACUCCAACAACAAACCUCUAGGCAUCCAAGAACCCCGGAAUAUGUUCCUUUUGAUGCGGCUCCCAAAUCCUGUAUAAACUCCAACAACUGCGAGAAGCUUCUUCUCGGAAGAAGUCACAUUCCCCCUCAAAUAUCCCUGACUCUUCGCCAACGUCAAGUCCAUCUCGGCCUCCACUGUCUUCCGCCCAAUUUCUCUGUACAUUGACAGAACAUUUCGCCAAAAAUUUAGCUUCACAACAAUAGAGUCAUUCAAAAGAAGAAGAAAACGAAUAAUACUGAAAGAUCCAAAUCGGUGAAUCAAUUACUUGCAUCCAAGAUUCAGCAGUUUAUCUUCGACGGUAAGGACCUUCGGCAGCUGGAAUAUAUUUAGAUCAAGAUGAAGAUCAAAUCUCUGUUCUAUGUUCAUAAUCACUCAGAUCUCAAGGACGGAAAACCAACCGACGCAUACAUGGCCGGAAUUCUUCUGAAGCAGAUCUGACAACAGCAACCGGUUCUCCGCGUCUUGCCACAAUCUGAAUUCAAACGAAGAAGAAGAAGAAGAAAUCCGUCAAAACACGUCGGAUCAACUGGAUCGAAGAAAAAGGAAGCCGAAUAGCUGCUGCGGAGAAGACAAGAACGGACCGGCCGGCGACGUAGAGCCAGGCGAGGCAAGACAAGAAGCCCAUGACGAGGGGGGCUCUGCUCGAUUGCGAAGCGGAUGAAGACGAGGAGGAUUUGGGGUGGUGCGAUCUCCAACGCCGCUCCUGCUUCAUGGCGCUCGCCAGCGUCUCUCCGCCACGGAUCGGGAGGCGAUCGCCAGUCUCCAUCGUUCGCCUGCAGAGAACUGAGACGAGACCGCGAGUAGGUUGGGUUUGGCCGACCCGGGGAAACGGCAGCCGAGACGGGUGGUGGAGUUGGGUCAGCCUUCGUUGUCCGAGGCCUGCAACUUGUACUUGGUUUGAACUGGAACCCCCUUUGGAUUUCAAUCGGGCCGAAUUGGGCUGGGUUCGUUUGGACCGGGUUGGCAAAUCAAAUUCCAAUCAACCAAAUUUUGUAAUCAUGAUUAACUGUUUUCUAAUUCAAUUUAAAACGUAAUCAAGAUAUAAAAUUACAUUAAAGCAUGCAUGAUUUACUUAGCCAGACAAAACAAUAUAUUUUUUUAUAUUAUUUUAUGUAUAUUAUUUAUUUAUUUAGAUUCAAUAUCAGUUUUAUUGAAUUUAUGAGCAAUCUAUUUGAUCCGAGCAAAACUAUAUAUAUCCUUAGUAUUAACCAAAGUUAACUAUUUUUAUUUAUUUUAUUUUAUCUAAAUUAAAAUUAAUUUAAGUAUUAGAGAGAUCAAGUUGAGGAUGUCAUGACUUAAGUCUAUGGGUUAACUGGUCUAUCAACUUCAUUUGGUUUAAACCACGGAUCAAAAUGCUUUAAGUUGAAAUCAAAUCCUUAUAAGUCAAUCUUAACCUUAUCCACUUUCGAUGUGGAGCUAAUUAUGUUACAGAACAAGUCACCUAAUCCAAGCCUAGAGUGCCCACCCAAAUUUAUUAACCCAUAAUGAGCAUUUAAAUCAUCCCUUCAACCAUCUCUUAUACAUAUCAGCUUUAGUUUUAUUUUUUAAAAUAACAAUCGAUAAUCAUAGUCAGUAUUAGUUGACUUUAGUUUAUCUAACUAUGAAAAAUAAUAAUAAUAUUUGGACGGAAAUGAUCUCAAACUCAAACCUGAGAUCUAUUAAAUAUGAAACGUCAUUAAGGAGAAUGAUAUGUUGUCCUGUUGUAAACAUCAUAUUACUAUAUUAUUUCUAAGCUUUGAAAUGACAAAUAACACAAAGGUAAAGGGAAAACCCAAAUAACGAGAACAGGAAGAUAUGAUAUAGAAAUCUAAUUUUUUAUAUGACGUACAACAAACUAAAACAAAAGUAAUAAAGGGAUACUUAAUCCCCUAAAUCGCUUGACAGAACUCAUAGUUUAAAAGUUAAGAUGAACUGAUUUGAUUCAUCUUAUGUUAAUUUGGAUUUAAAUAUAGUUUAAUUGAAUAAUUAUAUGUAUAAUUAUAUUAUUCUUUUUUGUUGAAUUAUAAAAAAUUGAGUUGAAAUACAAUCGAGAUGAAAUUAAGUCAAAUUUGACCUAUAAAAACUUAUUUAUAAAAAAUAAAAAAAAGCCAAUUGAGAAACCAUUAUAUCAUGUUUUUUUUUGCCUUCGAUUACUUUGCCCUAGCGGACGGAGUUCGUCGCUUCUCCCACUCUUGCGUCUCGAGGUGGCACCUAGCUGCGGCGAAACUGGCGGUAUGUCUUCUCCUCUUCUCCUUCUCCACCUACCAUAGCGGCUUACAGUGGCAGCUAUCGUCCGUGACAGUCGUGAUUGCUACUGACCUUGCCUACAUCUCCUUCUCUGUCUCUUUUCUUUCGGGUUCUUGCCGUUCUACUUCUUGUUCAUCCUCCUAUUCUUCGUUACGGGGAUGGAUUUCUGAAAAUUGGCUGGAUACGGUGGAUCCCGAUCGGGAUUGACCGAUUUUUUGUAAUGUAACCCAGAAUUUGGCCCAAGUUGUGGUGUUUUGCGAGCCUUGGUUAGGGUUUUUCCAUCCUUACCCAACUAGUGAGUCCAGAAGUGCAACGAAGUUGUCUAAAACUGAACUAAAACAACUCUAGGUGCCUCUCGCUCUUUACUAGGUCGUAUAUUGCAUCAACCGUUGCUUGUAUGUUCAGAUGUAGAAUCUAGAUUCAGAACACGUUUGUAAUAGACAAACGACUGAUAUAUUUGUUUCAAGAGGAAGAUGAACUUCAUAGUGAACUGAAUAUGUUUUUCUAAUUACCAAGUUAUGCAGAUCAAGAUCUUGCAGGUUGAAAGACGAAGCAUUGUGAUGAAAUCUCUCUAUGUUUUCCAUUUCUGUGAUUCCAGAAUGGCAGAUGAUAAUGAUGUAAAAUUCUGCAUAUAGCUGAUAGUUAUUUUAGGGAGGAAAGGAAGAUAUUAAGUGAAGGUUGAUACCAUGAGUCACAUACAGAUUAGAGAUAUAGUUAAAGGAUAGAACUGCCAAUUGGCCUAAAAAUGAUUAUGCCUUUUUUCUCUGAUAAAAUUCCAUCUUAAAUCCUUUACGGUGAUGUAUACAACUUUGCAUGUGAUUCUGAAUAACAGGUUCUAUUCCUGAAUAAAGGGUGAGGGUUGUGUUAGGCUACCGACGACUUUCGUAGAACUUUUUCUAAUUUACCUCCGGGAAAUUCCUGUCAUUUAGUAGUCUAAAAAAAAUCUCAAAUUGGAAGCUGUAGUCAAAAGAGCUUGUUUGACUGUCAUUAGCCCUUUCCACUUUGCAUUUGCAGUCUCUCUAAUUUGUCAAUUGAAGCAGCAUAACAACAUCUAGCCUUUUAGUACAAUCAUAUGUUUUCAUCUUUUUUCAUUAUUAACUUUAUUUCAUUGUGGACACUUGAGAAGUACGUUUCUGUACAAACUUCUUUUCAAGUGUAACUAUUUGUCAGAUGAUUGAUUCAACCAUUGAUAAAAAUAAUCAACGUUGGUUUUAUUUAUCAUUUAUUUAACAAUUUUAGUAAUAAACAUAACCACUAUAUUAUUCUAAUUGAGAGAAGAACCUCUUGUUAGCAAUCCCCAAAAAAGUCUGUGCCAGCUUUCCUAAGAUUCAAAGAGUCAAUUUUCUCCUUUACCCACUAUGAAGGUGCUGCCAAGUUCUGUAAAUCAAAUAUACCUAACUCCUAAGUGCAUCCGUUAUACUUCAAAUCUUUUGACUGAAUUUAAGAUGGAAGAUAUAUUGCUACUUUUUACCCAGUUGAGAUCCCAUCAUUUCCAUAUGAUGGCAUUAGUUUCUUUGGUUAAUGAAACAAAGGCAUAGACCUCUUUUAAUCUCUUUUUUAAAGGAAAUGAGAUCGAAACCAGUAGGGAGAUUAUAAACUUUGUAGUAUUUUUAAGAAUAUAAUGCUAGAACAAAGGUUAUUGUGCUCAUUAUUGGGAUUUCACUUCUUUAAGGAAGCUGAUGCAAUGCUCCUUUGACAGUUUCUUUGUCCUGUUAACAACACUUCCACCAUUUCAUUAACAUUGUAGAGCUGCAUGAAUAUUAGUUUCUAUUGUGGAGUUAUUGUUACUAAUUAAUUUCUUGAAGUGACUUAAUUUUGGUUUCUUUUAAUUUUUGUGAAUGCAGGAACAGUUGCAAGGUUUAUUUUAGUUUGGUAGCAUACAGUAGGAUGGACUUCUUUGCUGGUGAAUGAUCCUGUAUAUAAGAGUUCACAAAACAGGAUUUGAUAUUUUCUGGUUAAAAGCAUGAACAACAAUCAUCUUGGUCCUGAUGUCCCUCUCAGGAAGUUGAUACUAUUGGCUUCCAGAAAUGAUUCAGAACUACAAUUCAUGUCUGAAGUAUCUAGAAAAAGAAAAGAUAUGGAUUCACUUCCUGAUAAUAAGAUAUCCAAUAUCGUGUUCCAUCCAGGAAAUCUGAGUCGGCACAUAGAGCACCUGCCACCUACAGAUUCAACAUUGCCACUUCCUGGACUUACACCUUCAUUAGGGGCUUCUCAGUCCAGAACUCAAGGAUUUCCUUAUGACAAUGAGUUUAUUUCUUCAAGACCUACCAAUGCACAAUCUCACUUUGGUGACCACCCAGUUUGUAGUAUGACUAGUACAUUAGGAAGCAUAUAUAUGAAAGGCGCAACUUUUAUGGAAUCUGCAAAUAAUAGUUCUGAUUCCUUUGCACUCCAACAAAAUGAACAAUUUGUUAUGGCAAAUGUAACUGCUCCACAAGUUUCUGUUUCAACUGAUGCAAGAAGUUCCACUGAUGGUAUUGGCAGGCAAGCAGAAUUAAGUAAUCUGCAGUCAUACGUUGGGAUGAAUCUGGGCCAUAUUAAUCAAAACAUAAGUUGCACGGAGGCAUAUCUGACUGCUCAGGGAUCAUAUACUGGCAUGAACUUAGGAUAUGAGAACCGUGAUUUUACAAGUAAACCACUUUCAUGCUCUAUGCCUUCUCCAUGUUUACAAUCUGUUGAACCAUCCAAAAUGAAGCUGUUUAAUAAGUGUUCUGACUUGGAUGGGGAAAGCCUUGUUAAGGAUUUUAAGGAAAGUGAAAUAACUAGAACAAAUGGCUGUUGUCAGUAUACAGAUAUUGCUGAUGAUAGUAGUACCACAAAAGACACUCCAAAUUCUGCAGAAUCAUAUUCAGUCAACAAGGGAAAAGAGGAUCGUGGUUCUCACCAGAAUCCUAGGACCUACAUAACACAAAGUAAUCAUCUUAACCACCUAAAUUUUAGCAAUAAAGAGCAGACCCAGAAAGUCAUGAAUCACACAUCUGUUCCUGUAGAUUCUUCUAAUCGUGAAAAAAAAACAUUUAUAAGAUGGUGAUUAAAAACAUAUUUCUGUGGCUUAUGAAUAGUUUUGAAACAAUAGUUCUAAUGGUUCAGUUUUGAAACAAUUAUUUCUAAUAGUUUCUGAAACAAUAGUUUUGAAAGAUACUGAUGAUUCAAAACGCAAGAAUAAAAAUUAUUCCCUAGAGAGCCAAAUUUCAGUAGUUGAGUUUUCUGAUGAUCUGCCUUCUCAUAAUUCAGAUGAACAGAUCAAGUAUGUUGCUGAAAAGAAUUCUUCAGUUCAUACUGAAAAGCUGUGGGAUGGGUCACUUCAGCUAAACACUUCCACAACUGUGUCUACAGUUGCCUUCUUUAAGAGGUUCCUUAAUUUACUUGAAUCUUAUCUUACUGUGGCAUAUGAAUAUAUUUACAUAUACGUUCAACGAUUUGAUUCUCUUCCAUGGAUUGUCAUGUCUAUUCAACUCAUUUGUUUAUGCUAGCAUAGUCUUUCUCUAGAAACCAAAGUUUUUCGUAGAGUUUGUACUGAGUUUAACAACUAGUUUUGGUUGAUGUGGUAAAUUUUGGAGUGAUAUACUCACUUGAAAUGCAAAGAGUCAUCAGAGAGGGUAUGCACUAGUUGUUAUGAUGUUAGUUUAUAGGCUCUUGCGACUAGUGUUUUUAAAAGCGCCAGGUGCUAAGGUCCCGAAAUGUUUGAGACGCUAGGCAUCCACUCGAGUAAAGCGAGACACACCGGAAUAUUAAAUUUUAAAUAAUAUAUAUUAUGAUUGAUAAAUAUGAUCAUAAAAAGAAAAAUGACAUAUCAAAUUGAAAUCAUAUAAACAAUGACACAUCUAUGUAAUGUUUUCAUAUCAAUGUGAUAUAUACGGCUAAACAGAAAUAUGCUAAACAGGUUUCUAGCCAAUGUUAACAGUUCUAAUCGGUGCUAAACAAUUCUAAAGAGUGGAUCAAUAUGGUGCUUAACAGUUCUAACCAAUGCUAAACUGUUCUAAAGAGGGAACUGAGAAGAGGAGCAUCCGGUGGUUGUGGAGGAAGAUGGGGGAAGGAGAGGGCUGCGGAUGAAGUUGUGGAUGAAUGUAGCGACGCACCGAUGACGGACAUAUGGUUUCACUUCGGGUUUGUCUCACUAGGUCGGACGUGGGUUUUGUGUUGUGAUACAUUAGUUUGUUCAAUUGAACUAACUUGUUCUUUCAAUCAAACCAAGCUUGAACCCAGACUCAACGCCACUUGGGUGCUCGCCCGAGUCGCCCAAUGCCUGGGCUUAAGUGAGUGCCCAAGAAACACCAUUGAAAUGCCUCGCCUGGAGGUUUUGCAAAUUGCUUGGACCUUGCCUCGCCCGAGUGCCUUUUGAAAACACUACAUGUGACCCAUAUCACCACUCAGGACAUUUCUUUGUCAGUUCGGAGUUGGCUGAGGGUUUUAGUUUCAUCUUAUGGAAGAGAUGAAAUAUUUAUGAUUGGCAUGGGUCCGCAAGAGUUGCAUUUGAGCUGGUAUGGACUAUGAGCCAUGCUGGCCCUGUGUUAGUCUGAGUUCAUUUUGGUACCAUGUCAGUAAGGAAUGUGCUGGAUAGCAUGAAUUGCAAUGGCCAAACACAUGCAUUCCAUGGGUUGGCUAUGGAGCAAUUCUGCUAAUCAAGAUCGCUUUUGGGAGGAUUUGUCAAAAUACAUUGAUGGCUAUCAGAUGGCUACCUAUGAAAUUGGUCCUAUAACACUAGGAAGAGAAGCCUAAGCUGGUGAGAGAUCUGCAUGGGAACCCAAAAUACUAGUUGAUGGCUUGAAGGAUUUCAUCAUGUUGGUUACAAUAAAAUAUAAUGCAACAAAGGAAAAAAUCAUAUAGAAUUACCAGAAUCCGGGAAGAGUGCAGUAGGAAAUGACAAUCUUAUUUUGAGGAGACAAAUUCAUGUGAAUGCUAAUUAUCCAAGCACCACAAGAAGAAAAAAGUUUAUAUGUAGUCAUCUACAAAGGAUGUCAUACAUACCAUGUAAUUCUAGUAUACAAGUAGUCAAUAGAAAGUCUGCUCAAAGUUCAACAAAAGAUUAGUAAAAAAACCUUGUUGUGAAUGAUGAGGGGAGGUAAAUUGGCUAAUCUCUAGAUUGCUGUAACCAUGUAGCGGCAACCAAUCUGAUGUCUUGGAUUGUACACAGCCUAAACAAAUGAAAAAAAUUGCCUAUUAUAUUGCGCAUGGAAGUUUGUUGCAUUGAUACCUUUAAUAGGCAAAGAAAGGUUAACUAAGAAGGAUAUGAAGGUUUGCAGGCUCAUAUGUUCCAUAACCACUAAACUUUCAAAUAUAUGAUAAUGGUGUCUAAUAAAGAAAAAAAAAAAAACCUAAGUUAUGCUUCUGACACCACAUCAGGCCACAAAAACAGAACUAAUGAAUAACCAAGGAAGCAGCACAAGAAUCUGCAGGUACAUGAAGAGUAGCAUUGUUAAUGUUGACCUCACGAUCAUCUUAAUAUGCACAAUGGUUGCUGGCAGUCUGCUGCCAUAAAAGUGUUCCAGUUCUGCUAAAGGAAGAGGAACAUUAAACUUUAGUGACCAUUCAUAUCAGUAACUUGAUGGUUAAGUAAUAAAGUAGAAAAUAAGUUUCGAUUCACCAUAUUAAAUAAAGACCUCGAACCUCAGAGAUAAGCACUCCCAUCUAACAGGAGUAAAACUAUAAUUCAUCACGUACACUAUCUUUCAUUCUGCAAUCAGAUGUAUACUGAAUUCAGGUCUUAAGGGAGUGAAGGCUUGUGUUAGAAGAGGUCAUAUUAUAGGUACUUUAUGAUAAAACUUAACAUGGAAUUUGUUUUUUAUGUUGGUUUACUAUCUAGACCUCAAAUAUUUUAUUGAUUUACUAACUUGUCUCACUAGAGUUUCUUUUAUGCUCUUAUUUGCACAAAGUUGAUUGAUGGAAUCAUGGAACUAAAAGAUAUCCGUGGAGGCUUGUAGCUCUUAAGUGAUUAGAUUCCCUUAAGCCAUAUGCAUGUCCAAGAACAAUUAAGAAAGGCGAAUGUGGGUGUGGCUCUCAAAGUAUCAUAUAGGUUUAAUUAUAAUCAUUGCUGAAGGUAAUCUUAGUUAUUAAAACAAGCACAAUUCAGGAAAGCAAACCGUUGAGUAACAUGAAUGCUAUCAGUGAGAUGAAUUAUGAAGGUUAAUUGUUCUCAAAUAUUCAAAUUGAAUAACAUAACUUCUUCCUCUGACUCUUUUUACUCUAGUUUGGAGAGUAGCCUUGCUUCAUUUCAACUACGAAUAAAACUAAGUUGCUUUGAAAACAAAGUCAUUCAAACUUUGGUAAAGCCAGAACUCAAAGAAUUCAGUUGUUUUACAGCAUCAUUGCCAAUUUCAAAGAUUAAAUUAUCAUGUUUUGAAAUCCCUGUUAAAAUUUCUGUAGUACACUCUUCAAUAAUGAACUUAAGAAGGGAAUGUGGCAGUUAACUGUGCAGGUUUGCGACUUUGCGUAUAUGUUUCGCUACCAAUGAUUAAUCCGAACCGACUUCAGAGACUUGGUUUUUCAUGUAUAAAUCAGAGCCUACCAAAAUUAGGAGAGUUUAAAGUAAAGGCACAUCAAAACAAGAGUUAAAUUAAUAAGUGAUUGUGGUCUUAGUAGUUUAAAUAUGCAGUGAUUUUUAGAUCAUUGUGUAUUAUUUUUUAUUUGUUUUACAAAAUUUGCUCUUUGGUGGAGGUAUAUUUGGGACUGAUAGAGUCUCUGACUAUAGUUUCAUAAUUGCUGGUCGUGUUCAAAUGUGUUUGGAGAUUCAGUAUCUUGUGGCCUAUAUUUUUGAAGGAUUUAAACAUAUUUUAUAUAAGAUUAAGGUUCAAGAACUCACCUUACAAAUUAAUUGGAUUUGUAUCUUAGACUUAAGAUAACAUAGGUUUGACUUCCAAAUAACGAGUUCUGGUGAAGUCAGAGCAUAUUUGAAGGCAUGGUUCCACCAUUAGAAUAAUUUGAAAUGACUAAAAUUUGAAGUAAUAAGAUGCUAUUGUCUACUUUUAUCAAAUUACUUAUCAUGGAAUGAACUGAAAGAUUCUGCAUUAUCUUCAGGCUCUCGACUUACCAACAGUUGGUAGGCCUAGGGAAAUCUAGUAUUCUACCAGCUUAUUGAAAUGAUAGCUCUUUGUUCUUUAGGCAGUUCAUCUAAUCAGCACAACCUUAUGAUUCUAAAUCUUUAAUCAAUUAACGUGCCAACUGACUAAGUUCAAAAUUUUAGAAAACAUUUUAAUUUUUGAAUAGCUCUGAGUAUACAAACAUAUGGGUGAUUGUGUUGCCUCAUAUUCAAAUUCAAUCAAUCAAAUCAGUUUUAGAAGAUCUAGAAAGGUCCAAUGAAGAUUAAAUUCAAUGAAAAAUGAAACAUUUUGAAUUUUUUUUUUAUGGGAAUUCUGAUGAGUCAUUUAUAUAUUUAAUCCAAUUUGAAUAACAAAAUAAGGUUUAUUUUUCAGGAUAUUUAGACAUCAUUAUUUGGAGCAGAAUAUUUAAAAUAGUUUGGCUGAGUUAUACAAACAAUGUAGUUUUAGCUUUAAUGACUGGUUACUUAACUGCUCGUGUUAUAAAGAACUAGUUGCUACCAGAGGCAAAUUGUUUAUAGAUCAUAUUUUCAAUAGAAUUCAAUGCUUUAAAACAAUUUUUCUUCAUUUUAAAUUAGUUCCAGUUGCUUAAAUCCACUCUGGAAAUUGGAUUGAAUCUCUCCAAAGGUUCAAGAAACUGAAAAGUAUAAGAUCUGAAGACUAAUUUGAGAUCAAUAGCCGUCAGCCAUCAAAUUAAAAAUUUAAAGUUUAAUAACAAACUUAAUAACAAACUUAAUGCACUCAAAAGUUAAUCAAAUUUGUUCUGGAGGUUGUGUAAACAUCAUAGUUUUAUACACAACAUUUAAUUGGAUUAUUGUGCCAAAGUUUAGGUGCUCAGGAAUUGGUUUGAAUUAAGGAUUGCUAUAUAAUGGCAUGGGAGCGUGCUAAUACUUCUUUGGCAUGGUACAAUUUCAUAUCUUCAAUCAACACACCCUUGUACCGGUCAGUACAAGCUAAAAGUUAGCCUACCAUUUGUUGGCAUCCAUGACACAAAUUGUCAUGGUGCCUAAUGACCAUUUUAGAUCAUUACGUUUUGGCAUGACACUCCUCUCAAGCAAUAUAGGAAGAAGUGGGUUUAUUUAUCAGCUGCUUUGGUCCAAGUUAAUCUAGUUAGAAAUUAGAACUUUACAUUAGGUUCCACAAAAUAACCAAUAUGAUACUUUUAAUUAUGAUACUUUUACAAUUUAUUUUGUUCCUUAUGUUAGAUCCCUUGUAUUCUACACAGUCUGCUGGUUGGCCAGGGCAAUUUGUUAACUUGCCACUUGGAAUUUAUUUAAAGGGCCAUUGUAACACAGAAUUGUGUUGGAAUGAUAAACUUGAUAUUUAGGCCCUCUCAAUUAUUAAAGGAAUUAAUUCAAAGAUUCUCGUACAUUUAAUUUUUUAAAUAUGAAAGUUUACAUAUCUGCAUCCCGGCAUUCAUACUUGAACGUUCCCAACCUUUAGUUAAAAUUACUACUUAAGAAGUUGGCCAGAAACAAACUGAUAAAAAAAUUCUUUGAAUCAUCUGAGUUACUUGAGCAUUGCUCCAAAGAUCUGCCCAAGUUUUGCAAGUUUAUCAAAAAAAUCUGUCAAUUUAAAUUCUUCUUCAAUUCUCUAGAGUCAUUAAAAUUCAACAUCAUGCAAUUACCUUUGAUUCCUUUCAUAGGAACUGGAGAUCUGAUCAAAUUGGUAAAAAAACAACCAUUACAUUGUUUACCUGAUUGAUUACUUCUUGUCUUUUAAAGGUUGCUGGAUAUUAUGGGUCAAGUAAUUCUGUCAAUAUUUGGUGAACAUGUGCAACUUAAAUUUUGAACUUCACUUUUCCCAUAUUGAAGGGUUAAGAAAUAUUUAAAUCAAAGAUGAUUAAGAAAUAAAAAUUGAUAGGUUUUGCAGAUUGAUAUCAAUUUUUCAAAAAUAAUUUCACUCACGCCCAACAUUUAUGAUGAGCUGUUGUUCUGCAGUUGUAACUGCACUAAAUUCAACUAGUCUCACUCUUUGUGAAAACCAAAUGAGCUAACUUAUGAGUAAUGAAAAUCUUAUAGAUCUUAAUGCUUUAUGCAGCCUUCAGGCUCCCUUAAAGGAUCAGAAAUACCACCAUGAAAAUCAAUUUUUGCUCAACAUUGAAACAUGAUAUCAAGGGCCAUGCCAAUUAAUUAGAUAAGUCAGAAAUCUGAGAACCAUUUUAUUUUUUUAAAAAAAUCUAUGAAUAUAUACAAAGAGAAAUUAUCAACUUUAAUGCCCCAUGAUAGUAUAUUUGCCUCAAAGAGACAGUUACAGGCAUAUUAUAAACAUCGAGAAGUAUGUGCUCCUUUAAAUGUAUUGUUCAUAUGCAUGUUCUAAAAAAAAAGGAGAAGAGCAACUCUGUGUGUUUUUCGAACUAUAGUUAUGUGGUAUAAAUCACCAAUCAUCUCCCUUCAUUUAACCCCAUAAAGGUACUGUCAAGAGUCGACAAAUUCUAUUGGAAUCAAGUUGUUCUUGGUGCCUACUUCUCGAUGGUCCAUGCAGGUUACUUUUAAGCUUUUUGGGUUAUAUGUUAUCUUUCAUCUAGUAUAUUACUUUUCUAAAUCCAUAAGAGUAAGCCAUGUGAAUCUUAAAGUCACCAAUGCAAAUAGUUUGAAGAUGGAGUGGAUCAUAGUCAUUGGCGGGCAUUAAAUUUUAACUUAUUUCAGAGUUCUAUGCAGCAACUAAAAGGAAUUAUGAUCAGUGAAUUGUAACCAAAAUGUGUGUUCACACAGGAUAGUGCAAGAGAGAGGCCUUUGUUAUACCAGACAAUUUUAGAUGGAGAAAAAGAUAUCCACAAAACAGAACUUUUACAUGGCGGCUGAAAUCAUGCCCUAAUUGUCCCUAGAAGAAUCUUAAGUUCCUUUUUGCUUUGAGUUUUUUUUCAAAUUAAUGACCUUUUACAUAUAAUCCCUAUUUUUCUCUCUUUGAUUAUAAAAAUCUCUUUCCUUUGCUUUAUUUGCAAUUUGAAACAUUGAUUUCUCAUGAAAUCUAGAAAAAGACUUUGCAAUUGCAAUUGCAAUCUGCUACUGUUAAUCCGCUACCUUCAACGAGAAACUGUCAAAAUUUUGUGAAUAGUUAUUUGCUUCUGUUAUAUCUUUUUAAAAUUAAUGACAAUUAAUUAUAAUAUUCUAAUCAUCUUCAUUUCUUCCAUCUCCUCUUCCUCCAUUGUUUCCAUUGCUGCCUCAUGUGACUUGCUUCAUUAUCAGUAUCACUUCAACUUCAUUUCCAUUGCUUUCCCACCUCACAUGCAUGCACCAUCUUCAGCAAUGCUGUCCGUCCUCCUCGACCUCAACUAUUACCACCUGGCUACCUCCUCUGUAGCCACUAGUUGCUGGUUCUCCUAUGCUAUCUUGCAUGAUUGAACCUUUGUGGUUGAUUCAAAAAAAAAUUGUGCUGAAAGUUCUGUUCAUUAUUUGUCAAAUAUGCAAUGCACAAAGCAUCUGUAAGUCGUUAUCUAGCAAAUAAAUAAUAUCAACCGAAAAUGGUUAUACAAGAACAUGAUAAGCUACUAAUUUGAUCAAAAGUGACUAUUUAUCGGACCUAGGAACGCAAGUUGCAUCAGUGUUACACCCAAAGAACCUUAAAAGCAAAAUCCUUGCAAUAGUUGUGAUGAUCAUAAUUGGUUGUAGAUACUAGCUAUUAGCUUCUCAGAAGUUUUAUAUGCUUCUUGGUACUAAACCAUGCUAUGUGCAAUUUUUGUGAUAGGUAAAUACAAAAUAUGGUUGAGACCCAGAAGUCUAGUAACAUGUAUAGAAAGGUAUAUAAAAGUCGAAUCAAUUGAGUUGUUAAUCACUGUUAUCCUCAUGUUUUGAUCUUUAGUCACUCACAAGCUUUUCAGGGUACUCUUAAGCUCGAAAACUAAAACUCAGAAAAUUAUUCAAGAACUUCCUUUACACACCGAACUAAUCAGUAUGAAGAACUUUCAAAGAAGUUAUAUCUCCAUAUAAAUUAAAUGUGAAAAGAGUAUGUCAAGGUGGUUUACUUUAUAAGACUAAUGCCUCUGCAAGUGCAUGGCAUGGAGGCUGUGCGGAGUGUACAUGUGCUGCAUAACAGCAUAUGCCAUGCUGGCCAAGGACCACUGACCGUUAUUGGAUUGAUACAGUUUAUCUUUGUUGUCCUCUUCAUGCUCAGUAUUGCACAAAUUCAGUGAAAAUCUCAGUGGAGCAUUCAGUCCACUUUUUUCACCUUGAAUAUUUUGUGAAGAAAAGUGUUCCAUGUACUUUUCCAUGUUAUUUCUUCUCACUGCUCCUUUUUUGUAGUGGUGAGAAGGCUCAAGAUAUAAGAUGGUGCGACCUUUUGGAAGUUAAAGGAAAAGUGAGACUGCAGGCAUUUGAAAAAUUUAUUCAGGAGCUUCCUCGCUCUCGAACACGUGCUUUAAUGGUGGGAUUUUUUUUGAAUAAUCAGUAAAUGACAAGAGCUGGCUUGCAAAAUGAUCUGUAGAAUCUACCUAAUUUGCUAAAUUUAGUGUGCCUGUGAUAAAUUUUGCGCAAGUUACUAAUUUGGAAUUUUGUUAUAAGCUCCAUAAUGACUAUAUUCAUGCAUUGUAUAUACAUGCAUUUAUGUAGGAGUUUCUUGGUUUUGUGAAUAGUCUGAUUUAUAGAUCAUGUAGCUAAUGCAUGGGAUUUAAAAUGAGUAUGCCUGGUAAAGAAAUCUUUCAUUUAAGUGAUUGAUCAAGAAAAUCAAGUUCUUUAAACAUAAAGUUCCUUAAACAUACUAUUGUAUUUGUAAGUGUGUGUUGAAAAUUUAUAGAUCAAUUAUCUAAUUUGCAUAUUUCUAAGACCUAUUUGCUAUUUGAUUCUCAAGGUUAUGAUAUUACCACCAUCAAGCCAUGCUUGGAAAGAAUAAGCCAGUGAAAACUUAAAAGUCUUGUCAGCGAUGAUGAUUUUGUGUCUAAUCAAGAAUUUUUAAAUUGCUCUAAUUAAUUAUUCUAUCUGGUGAAUGCUGAUAUCAGUCUGCAUUCUUCAAUAUGUCAUGUGCUUCAGGUGAUUUCCCUAUGUUGGAAAGCUGGGUCAUCCAUAUCUGGCCUGACAGGUAUGAAGGAGGUAAUGCCAAAAACCUUUGUCAGGAAUUUAGUUUUUCACUAGCAAUUUUGACCAUAUUAAAUUGUUGGUACUGCAAAAUUUUAUCUGAUUACAGGUUGCUAAAGUUUACCAAGAGAGUGAGAGGGUAGGGUUUGCACAGAUCUGUCCUGGCAUUGAUCUUUAUGUCUGCCCUCGAAGUGAGACCAUAAUAACAAUACUUGCAAAAUUUGGGUUCUUCAAGGGCAUGGCAGCAGUUGAAGAAGAUCAGAAUUCUCUAAUUGGUUGCGUUGUAUGGCGUAGAGGCUGUCAGUCUUUGGAUUCUGCUUCAAAAGCAUCAGAUAAUAAAAUAAAUUCUUUAGUAGAGAAGGCACUUAGCUCAUCUGAGGAGAUUCUAGAAACAAAUUCUCCAGUACUAAAAAAGCAGGAUGAGCAUAGUAAACAAACUCUCCUAGGCACAAGACAACAUGAUGGUAUGCAGUGCCAACACUUACCUGAAACUAGGUCCAAUAAUGCUGACAAUGCAAGUCAUAUGAGAACUGAAAUCAAGUCAAGAGAAAGUUCAUCUGUUGAUUGUAGUUCAAAAUCAGUUAGUGUUCUGCAUAUUGCCUCUUCACUACCUUAUAACUCUCCUAUUGCUCCAGUUCAAAUUUCUCCUCCACAAAAGCAGGAAUUGAGGUCGAAGGAAUGCUUAAAGAAUCCUCUAUUGUGUGCUGUCGAAGGAAGACAAACUGUCCUUGGUUCAGAACCAGCAAGAUCACUUCUCUUGCAAUCAUCUCAAAUGCUCCCAGAUAGUCAUCAGAGGAACAUUACAUGCAGUGAAAGUUCAACUUAUCCUAGUAGUUAUCCUGAUACUCUUAUGCAGUCAGCUCCUUCAAUGCCGUCUGGUUCUAUUCCUGUUCGACUACAAACAACACAAAAACCUUUCUCAAGUUCUCAAGAGGACCCUACAUCAAGUGUUUCAAAGGAUGAAAAUUAUAUAAUGCACUUCAAAAAAUCAGAAGCUCCUGCAACAAGUUCUGAACCAAGCCAAACCACUCUUCCUGGACCACCUCCUUUGCCACCAGAAGUUCUCAAGCGAAUCAUUCAAGCUAGAGCAGCUGCUGUGGCUAAGGUUAGUACAUCUAAAAGUACACACUUAAGCUUUUUCCUUAACUCUCUUUUAUUCUUGGAUUGCUGCCUCGCAUCCCGCCUCUCUUUUAUUCAUGGAUUGUGUACAUCUAAAAGUACACACUUGAGCUUCUCCUUAGCUCUCCUUAACUCUCUUUUGCAGGAAACUAAUAAAGGUGUUGUCAUGGUUGAAAUCCCUGUUGGGCAUGUUUCUGAACCAAAGAAAUUUUCCAUGGUUAUUGGGCCAAGUCCUGUUCUUCCUGGACCACCUUUGUCGUUGCCACAAUCUUUGAGUGUCUGUCCAAGCCCUGUCGAUGUGGAUGAUUUACCAGAAUUCGACUUCAGUUCAACAUCCAAAUUUAUAGAAUCCCCAGGAAACAAAUAUCCUUGGUCCAGUUAUCCUAUCUCAGAAGUUCAUCCAUUCAAUAAGCAACUCCCAAGUGAUAUGGGCCAUAAUUUAACACCUCAUGGAUCAACUACUAUGCAGCCUAUAGAAGCUAGUCAAAGACAUCAGUUUUCAUAUUUUCCGGGAGAGGCAACAAACUACUAUCAAGAGAAUCCCAAACGAACAAAAUUUCAGAAGCCCAUUGUAGAUAACAAGGUUGUAGUCAGGACUUCACUGUCAUGUGAUCAACCAUCUUUAGAUGCUGAUCAGGGUUCAAUUGACCCAAGAUAUAGUAGCAGUUCUCUAAGAAAGUAUUGCUGGGAUGAUGAUGAUGAUGAUGAUAUGCCUGAGUGGUGUCCCCCAGAUCUAGAACAUGUUGACCGAACCCAAGCAACCACUGCUGUCAAUCUGUCAUCCCCUGUGCAUAAUUGGGACUUGGAAUUUGCAAGGCGGCGUUCCUUCAUCUCUCCGCUCUCAACAUCUUCAUGCCCCCCAGGAAUCCACAGUCUUCCUCGUGGUUACCUGCAUGGAAGACAAGGUUCUUCUCCCCUCAACCACAAUCCCACUGCACCAGUUCAUACGAGAUCAGCUGCUGGAUUUGAUCAUUCCAUUCAAAGGACACCUUUAGUGCAACAUGUAACCAAUUUGUCCGGCUAUCAGACCAGCAUGAGCAACAAGAUACCUUCAGAUAUCGGCAAUAGGUUUCGAAGGCCUUGACGAUUGUCGACUCGGGUUCACAUGGCUGAAAAUCCACCUGUCAAGCUCUCUAUUUUGCGUACAUAUUUAACUUGUAGAAAUUAAGAGAUAUCUAAAUUGUGCAGACAUUCGAGGAUGUGUUGUGCUGAAAGCCUUGUAGAGUUGGUAAUGCUGUUAAAGUUGUUUUAGGAUCCUUCUGAGCUUGGCUAUAGUUAUAUAUAUCAUUAGAUGUUAUCUCAAAGGCUCCUUUGAGAUUGUUCCAAGCAGCAGCCUACAUGUGCACAUAUGCAUCUUUUAUCUACGGUUGCAAAGAACAUACCUUUUGCAAUAAUUUGCAAAUGAAGUUCUCGCAAAUAGAAUCUCUGAUGUGAUUAUCACUGCCAUUUGUGUUUUUUUUUGUUAUAGCGAGAACAUUGAUGAAAUUGAAGGGAUUUGCUGAUACAGAGAUUGGGAGAAGGAAAAUGACCUCUCUUGAGUGCAAUUCUAAUUUUUUUUUUUUGGUUAGUGGCUUGAGAAAUCUGUUUCCAAGUAUUGCUAGUGUUGAAAUGAAUCAAGCUAUUGGCACCCUGCAUCUGGUUUGUUCAGUCUAUUGCUAGGGUUCCUCUGCAUCUCAAGUUAUAGGCCUGCUCACCUAUUACUGCUGCCUCAAGGCACCCCCAAACGAAGCUAACACAUGGAUAUAUGGCAAUCCUCUACUUGUCCAUUUUCCCUACCAGACAUUGAUAUGAUAAGAGAAUCGUUUAACAUGAUAAAAAUAUGUGCUUAUGAGACCGUGAAUGUGAUAAUUAGAAAAGGUCAAUAGAAACUAUUGAGACCUAAAAAGAUCUGACUAGAAAUCAUAAACAAAGAGAUAUAUAUAUAUAUAUAUGUAUAUAUAUAUAUAUGUAUAUAUAUAUAUGUAUAUAUAUAUGUAUAUGUAUAUAUGUAUAUACAUAUAUAUGUAUGUAUAUAUGUAUGUAUAUAUAUAUGUAUAUGUAUAUAUGUAUAUACAUAUAUAUGUAUGUAUAUAUGUAUGUAUAUAUAUACAUAUACAUAUAUAUAUAUAUGUAUAUACAUAUGUAUGUAUGUAUAUAUGUAUAUAUGUAUGUAUAUAUAUAUAUACAUAUAUAUGUAUAUAUGUAUGUAUAUGUAUAUACAUAUAUACAUAUAUAUAUAUAUAUAUGUAUAUACAUAUAUAUGUAUGUAUAUAUGUAUUUACAGUCGUCGAGAGACUGGUACGGGUUUUUCUUCCCUUUCCUUUGCUCCCGCGAUGUAGAGAGUGUCGACCACUGUUUUGGCCGAGUGUGAUUUCUCGAUCGACUGGGAGAUGACGCCCAAGGGCGUGUUGCUGUUGCCGUUGUCUAAUCCGCCUCUGUCUCCGCCGCUACGGGAGGGCAACGCAUGACCAGGCGAAGCGCCUUCGCCGCCUUCUCCUACGUGGCCUGCGCGCCGGUAUGUCCCCUCUUUUUGUCUUGUUCGAUUUGGAAUUCCUUUGCGUUGUGCUCGAAUGGUUCGUUCCUUAAUGCUCCUUUGCUAUGGAUCCUUAGAAAAGGGUUUGUGUUGUUUACAGUUGAACAUAGAUCUUUCUUGGUUCUGUUGUUGUCGUCAAUCUGUUCCAAAUGUAGAAACGCCGGACCUUCUCUUUGUUCGACACCUUUGUUCUCAGUUCCAAGACUUUUUCUUAUCGUGGGUGUGCGCUCUUGCGUGGUGCUACAGAGUUGACGCUCGUCCGCAAUUUGAUCUGGCUUCAGAAGAGAUUUUUGGCAAUGAUUGUGUGAAUUCAAGUCUCAAGUUAUGAUCUUGUUCAUGAUUUUGCAAAAACACCAACAAAUUAACGCAGACUGAAACGGAAUCUUUGUACUGUUUAGAACAAUUGAAUCGUUUCUGCUGAUAGAAAUACAAUAAAUAUAGGUUGAUCUUUUCUCUUGUUGUUGUCAAAAGAUACCGGUCUUGUCUAAACAGACAUUACUGAGAAACCAUUGCUUAGUUAAAGUUAAUGGAAAGGUGUGAAAAGAUACCGAAAGGUGGAUGAUAGAAAGAAGUGGAUUUUUCACUCUAUAAGCGAGCUGGCUUACCUUGUCUGCCUGGCACAAAAUUUUGUUGCUCAUGAUAGGGUUAAAGAUUAAGGACUCCCAUGUUCUAAUCUUUGAACAGAUUUGGAGUCGGCACAGAUACUGUAUGAUGUUGAUGAAUGCAUUUGCAUUAUAAAAAUGGGAACUAAAAUGUGAUUUGAAGCUUAUUGGUUUAGCAUUGUCGCAUGUUAUUGUCAACAAAAAUGUAUGUUAAAAUCAUAACAUUACAAUGUUUCUUAUUGGUUUAUCAUUGUCCGUUCUCCUAUGUUUAUCAUCUCAUUUACAAUUUGUUUUGUUGCAACUUUUGCAGUGCUUCUGGUUCCAUUCAUCAAAGCUGCUCUAUCCUCGUAUGGUUUCCCCUGUGCUAAUGUUAUUACUCUUUUGAGGUAUGCUAUAUCUUCUGUAAUUUUUGCCGAGUAGUGACUUGAGCAUCUUAAGCUUUGUAAAAUGAAUAUUACAAGUCACUUAGUGCAAGUAACACAAUAGGUUUAUAAUAUCAUUGCAGGUUGAUCUGAAACCCUACUCAAUAAAGAUAGAAAUGAUAAGAAACUAAUCGAUAAUAGGAUGACAUUGACUGGGUUUUACUAGUUAAUGAUGGCAAAACUGCAUUAAAUCUAGCUGAAAGGAAUAUAUGAAGUAAAAGUGAGAAAGUUGAUGAAACAGUGAAACAGGCAGAAAUCAUGGACGAGGCUAAGCCUUUGAUGGGUGCUUAAAAGCAUAUUUGAAAAAGAAAAUUCUUUAUUAUUUACCUUCUGAGAGACCUAUGAUCCCUCUAUUUUACAAAGAUUAACCAUACACCUUUUUACUCAUCCUAAGCCCACCAAACCUUCAACAAGUCCUUAAGUAAUGUAUUUUAAUAACCUUGAACUGCUCAUCAAUUGAACUCCUAUUCCAAUUCAAAUAAUUUUAAAAGUGCAAUGUGUUGGACCUUCACUAACACUAAGCAGUAUUUAUUAAAAGGUUUCUUCAAAAAGUGUAUAAAAUAGAGAAAAUUGAACUUAAACCACAUAUGAUUCAAUUCUAACUUCUAAGCAUGUAUGGAACUCGAACCAACCCUUUCUAGAAAUGGUUGCCUCAUUUAUCAUUUAGACUGCCACAUCUUAGUUGGAUAUAGAUGUAGGACAGGUUCUUUUCGGGUUUUAGUUGUGGCCUGGUAAAAGUUCAUCCUUGUCAAAAUUGAUAUGAUUUUUUUUGUGUUUUUUAUGUGUUCUUAUCAUUUUAAUUGUUGUUUCAGAAUGUCUUUAGAGAUUAUUUUAGCAUCUUCAUGGUAAAGAGCCCGCUUGUGGAUACAGCUUGGUCUAAGAAAGUUAUUAAGCUAUAAGGAUAUGAUCUUGGACAGAGAUGGGGCCCUUGACAUGGGACUUAAUGGGGGAUUGUUAAGUUUCUGAAAAAGGUAAACUCUUGUCUCAUUCCCUGUUAGAUACAUCCAUGCAUUAUAGUUCAUCCAAGAUGGAAUACUUACUCUUCAUUAGAUACUUCAGUCUCUGGAGUACUAGUUGUUUAAAUUCUUGAUUUUGAUAAAAACCAAGUUAAACCAAGUCAUUUGGAGGUCCAGGAUUUCAUAGCAUAGCGAUUAAUGGCUCCCCUUGACAUGCAUGCUUUAAGGUUUAAGGUUCUCAAUAAGCAGCUCGGGUGAAGAUCUAACCAGGUUCUCAAAAAGCAGCGAGUGCAAUUAAAUUGUUAUUGGUGUAGAUCUAACGAGGUUCGCAGCAAAGCAGCUCGGAUGCAAUUAACUGUUCUUGGUGAAGAUCCAACAAGGUUCUCAACGAAGCAGCUCGGAUGCAAUUAAUUGUUAUUGGUGAAGAUCUAAUUAGGUUCUCAACAAAGCAGCUCAGGUGCAUUUCACUGUUCUUGGUGAAGAUCUAACGGGGUUCUCAACAAAGCAGCUCGGGUGCAAUUAACUGUUCUUGGUGAAGAUCUAUUGAGGUUCUCAACAAAGUAGCUCGGGUGCAAUUACCUGUUCUUGGUGAAGAUCUAAGGAGGAUCUCGACAAAGCAGCUCGGAUGCAAUUAAUCGUUCUUGUUAAAGAUCUAACGAGGCUCAGGUGCAAUUAACUGUUCUUGGAUAGGUGUAAAUUCUUUGUUUAUAUGAUCAGUGCCUUCUGAAACAAUUGAUAUUUAUGUAUGAGAAACAGUACAUUAGCAAAAUAUUGGCCUUCUGCUGACCGUAAAAAUAAAUCGAUGAUAUUGAGACUUCGACUAUAAUUAAAUGUGGUUUUUCGAUCUUGGUUGAUUCAAUCGUAAAGCAAACUAUGUUACCAAAGACAUGGGCUGAUCACUUAAAAUCAUUAUUGUUAUGAAAUUUAAUUUACAACAAUUUUCUCAAUUAUAAAUUUGAUUACAGAAAGAUCUUAGCAUUGCCAUUUAUGUUUGUUUAUCCGACCUGCGUAUUGAAAAAAUCUUAAAUUGGAUCGUCGACCGGUCUAAUUUAAUUAUUGAAUCAAAUAUGUUAAAAUCGAAAUGAAUUGAGUGGCCUGAGUUUUGGAUAACCUGCAGAACUAGAUCGAACUGGACAGUCAAAUCGUAAAAACGUAUCAUUAACCAAUCCAAUUCAAUUAUUAGAUUGGAUGUCUUAAAAGCCAAAAUGAAUUGAUUGACUAAACCGAUUUUAUAAUAUAAUAAAAAGUUACUUAAAUAUAUUAACAUAAAUCCUUUUUAGCAUUUAUUAGUUGAUAUUAUCAUUCUUAUACUAUUUUUUACUUUUAAAAUUAGUUUUCAUAUUUUAAAAUUUUAUUAUAUCUACUUUUAAAUUAUUUAAUAUAUUUUAAAAAUUUGUUUUAAUCAAACAAACAACCCUACCUGCUGACCCAUAGCCUAAUGACCCAAGACUCGACUAGGGUUUCCCGAUUCGGUUCAAUGUACAUCAAUCUCGAGCGAAGAUAACACCCAAGAUUGAUGAAUUUGGCAUGUGGACAAUAUCUACCUAGUAAGAUGAUAUGACAAAUCCAACAGAUGAAUCGAGUGUCAUGCACCGAAGACGAAGCAGUCGAAUCGACAACACAUGACGAGAUAAAUCUUAGACAUGGAGGCCAUGCAAGACAUGGUAAGGACAACACUCGGGAAGAAAGCAACAGGAAAAUGGAAUGAACUAUGAACUACUGAUCCAGUAUUCUACCACCGCAAACAAGUCAAUCCACAAGCAAAGACUAGUCUAAAAACCCAAAUCCCACGAAACAUGUUCUUAGCAAAGAAAAAGCAAAACCGAGCUCCACUAUAAGCUACUAGUUCCUGCCUCGAGGAAAAUCUAAAACUAAGUCCGUCGCCUCAAUGAAUGAGGCUAUCGUUCAGUAUGCCGACUAAUCAGCCGGUGCGUUAGCCCUGCUGCUGCUGUGCGACACUCCUCAGAAUUUCCAUCGCUUCUGCAACUUUUGCUCUCAGAGCAUCUGGAGAUUCCAGCAGAUGCAGGACUUCGGUUUGGUCCAUCUCGAGCAGCAUUCCUGUAACUUUGGCUGUAUCAACGGGUUCAAGUUGCUUAACAAGUGCGUACAGACUAUCACCGAGCAUCUGCACAGGAAGAACAUGUGAACCAUAAUCGGUCGACCAUAGAUAGAGUUGAUUCAUUGCACUUGUAAAUACGAGGACAUGUUAACCGGAAAAGGACACAUCGAUGAGAAACAUACCAGCCUUUGUUGCUCGGGAGGAGCAUUUGCAAGGGCCGAAGGCAAUGCAGCGAUGGGAAUAGGUUGUGGCACGGCAACAUCUUGCAUAGGCAAACCUCCCAUCUCAUUAGGAUGGAGCAUACCACCAACUGCACCUGGUGUGCCAGGAGGGUAGCUGUGGACAUGAAACUUUGGAACCAUCUGUUAUGCAUUAUAAGCAAAAUAAAUAAAUAAAUAAAUAAAAAGUUAGAUCAAUACUAAUAUUGCAUCACAUUGAACAUUCUAUAAAGCUAUAAUCUCAGAUAAAACCAAGAUGAGAACAUAUUAUUUUGCCCUUCAAAUUUAAACUUUAACCCUUCCGAAUCUUUCACCCUAGUACUCUUUCUACUUUCAACCAAUUGCAAUUUGCUGUGGUUGUUAAUAAUAGUUAAACCCACCAAAUGGUAACCAUGAUUGUAAGAAGGCACAGAAAGCUUUAGAACCAAGCGAGAUGAUCAAGGACCUGUUGCAGAGUUAAUGGUUGGUGUACCUUCCGUCUUUGUUGGACAGGGGCCGGUAAGAAAUUUGGCAUAGGUGCUUCUGCAGGCUGUACUCCAGGGAUGAGCUGUGGCUGAAAUCUAAAUCCUGGCUGUAGACGAAAUUUUAGAAGUUAUAGAAUGAUUUAAGCAAUAAAAGAAUUAAUAAAGCAUGCAUAGUAACUUAUAAAGCAGUAACAUGCAGAUUCAAUAAACAAAAUAACUAAAUGCAGCGCACCACAAACAACACAUUUCAUAACAUUGUACUUGAAAUGCACAAAAAAGAUCAGUGAUGCAUUGCAGUUAUGACGUAUCGUUCAUGUGCUUUAGGUGCAGGCAAUCAUACAAGUUUUUGACUUACUGUCAUACUGUAUGUAUGCCACACCAUUCAUCAUGUAAGUCCAUGACAGAUGGCAUCAGCAACUAAGAGUUCAAAAAAGAGAAGGUAAAUUCUAUAUUCCACAUAUAGAUAAUAUAAUAAUUAAGAUUGAAUUAAAAAUAAAAGAAUGCAAAAGUAUCUAUUACAAUUACACCUGAAUCUUACCAGUGAUUAUUCUAAUCUUUAUAAGGGAGCUCCAAAUCUAAGACUGAAAUAAUAGCUUCUGUACACUAGUUAGCUUACACAUGCAAUGCACAUACUAAAUUUCCAAUUUCCCACUUCACAUUUCCUUUUCACUAAUGAGCAACAGCAUGCUACAACUACCGAAACUUCUUCCACUAUAAUAUUAAAGAAAUAUAAUAAUGAGCAAAAGGAUAACAAGCAUUAUAAAAAGUUAUUUCCCAUUAUGACAGUCGUGAUAAAGUAUGUAUAUCAACCAAUAUCCAGUUUGACCACUGGCCAUCAAAUAUGAUAAUACCUUGACUGAUAUGCUACAUGGCAUGUUUGAAUAUUUUGGCCAAAUAUAAGCUUCAACAGUUCAAACAGAGAUUGAAGGACAUGGAGAUAAUUGUAAGAGUUUCCACCUUAAUAUUGAGCAUCACAAAAGCCAGGAUAUUAUAUAACUAAUAUUGUCCUCGACAGUCAAUUGACCAACUAGUAUUGCAGUAAACGGUUAUCCGAAAAACAGGAUUUUUUAUGAUAAAAAAAUUGAAUCAAACAUAAGAACCAAAUAGAUACCUGUGGUGGAAUAAGGUUAGGAGGUGGUUGACCAUAAAAUAUUUGUUGCCCAAGGCCAGGAGCACUGGGGGGGUAGAUGGAAACUCGGGGGCCAACACUUGGGCCUAGGCCCAUUGCUACAGGUCGCACUUGUGAAAAGUGUGCCUAUAUAUUAGACAAAAAAGUUAUUGAAAAAAAAAACAAAACAUAAAUGCCAGCAAAAUUUCAGAAUUUUAUUAUGGCAAAAUACAUUGCUACAAAGAGACAUGACUAUAAAAGAGACAAUUUCGUUAUGACAUAAUCCAUUUCAGACAAUGGACCAUCAGAAAAGUACUUUGCCAACACAAAUUACACAGUUCAUCAUUUCCAGGUUGGAUUGAGUAAAAAAAGAGGACAAAAAAGCAAACGAUUAUAGGGUGUAACCUAAAGGCUAAUUGUAAAGCACUUCCACUAUUUUUGCAAAACUAACACCUAAGUAGACAUGAUAUGUAACAAGUAGGAUAUGAAGCUUCUAGAAGCUUGUUCAUAUCCUUUCACUUCAAAGCUAGACAUGAAACAUCAGUUGAAGGUACCACACUAAAACCUAGCUGACCACAUUACCAUUGUAGCUGCUUAAAGUAACUUGAUUAUGACCUCAAAAAAUGGUUGGGAUAAAGUAGAUACCUGAAAACUAGCUCUUCUAUCUUCUUUCCGUUGCGCAGGUGCAACAUAAAGUGGCUUCCCGCGAACCAUCUUUCCCUUCAUAUCUUCAAGCUAAAAAAAAAGAAAAAAAUUCCAUUUAUGAAUGUUCCAAAAGAUUUUUAGAAGAGAGUGUAUGUGUGUGUGCGUGCGCGUGAGAGAGAAUGAGAUUACAGCUCGAUUUGCUUCUUCAGGUGCAGAGAAAGCAACAAAACCAAAACCUUUACUUAUACCAUCAGGGUUCCGCAUAAUCUGUAACAUAUAUAUACAUCACAAGAAAGCCAUUAUGACCAAAUCAAGAAAAUUAAGAGAAUUAAUUGUACCAAAACUGGACAUCCAGUACCUUGCAAGAAGUAAUUGUACCAAAAUCAGAAAAUAGUUCUUUCAGCUCAUCAUCCCCAACGCUAUCAUCUAAGUUCUUCAAAUAUAAGUUGAGUCCUUGAUCCCUGUCCACUGUAUUCCUCGCACUCUGAUUAUAACUUUUUCUUAGUGCUAAUUCUCUUUCGGAUUUCUUCAGUGCCUUUCCAACAUACCACUCCUUAUCGUCAAAUUUCUGCUCAUUGAGUUCUUGAACUGCUCGAGCGGCAUCAUCUGGAUUCUCAAAAUUGACAAACCCAAAACAUUUAGAUUUUCCAUCCUCCUCCCUCAUAACAAUGGCACUUGUAAUUUUCCCAUACUCGCCAAAGAUAUUUUCUAGAUCUUCAUUUGUAGUCGACUCUGAGAGGUUUUUGACAAAGACAUUAGAAAACUUUGUCUUGUCUAAGGAGUUCUGUCUUUCUUUUUUGCGAAUAAAGGGUCCAACAAAAACUGGUUUAUCAUUUAAAAGCAUUCCAUUUAUCUCAUUGAUUGCAUUCUGAGCUGCCUCCUCUUGUUCAAAUUGAACAAAACCAUAGCCUUUUGACUGUCCAGAUGCAUCUUUUGCAAUCGUGCAGGAAACAAUUCUACCAAAUGCCGAAAAGAUAUCAAACAGCUGUCCAUUGCAUAUUGCUUUAUCUAGAUUCUGAAAAACACAAAAAUAACAACUUAUGUAUGUACAAUGCGAACUUGCAACUGUCAAAAGAAAUGAGUAACAUAAAUUAUCCAUAAUCUAAUUGGAAACUGACAUCUUCACCACAGCAAAUUAAACAAUUCAUUACCUUAACAAAUAUAUUUGCUGCCCCAUUUCUAUGCAUGCUAGGGUCCCGGUUUGAAUCCAGAAUGCGAAUAGGCUUAUUGUUAAGAGGCAUAAAGUUCAGCACCUCCAAUGCCGUUGUAGCUGUCAAUCAUAAAAAAAAAUCAGAUAAAAAAAAGACAUUCUUACACUUAUCAUUUGGCAACUGCUCCAAAAGAAACAUUUUGAUUCUCAUGGUAUUAUGAUGUAGAAUUUUCAUUCCAUCAAUAAUACAGCCACCGCAAUAUUUGCUUCCAGAGAGUUACCAUUUAUUAAAAGUCCUUGAUGUCCAAGAAGAGAAUUCCAAUACUAAUAGCAAUGAAAUAGUAAAUUGUUCAAAAUCAGAGAAGGUUUCAGUAAAUGACUUUUAUGAAAACAUGUGUUGAUUUAUUAUAAGAAAUCACUUUCGUUAUUUUAAAUAUUCCACAACAAAUACUGGGCCAUUGAAUAUAAUACUACUUCAUAGACUUGAUGCAAGAAUGGAUUUGAUAUCUUGCAGAAAAGAUAGAAAUAAAUACAAAAAAAGUAAUUUGGGAACAUUAAACAAAUAAUUUAAAAACAUCCCAACAUUUGAAUCCUGGAUAAAUUAUGAGAUUUCAAGAGAUUUCUUUUUUUCCAAUUAGUUUCUCUUUCUUGGUUCAUUAUCUCUUGACACAGUGGAUAUCCACCAAAGAGAAAUAAGUGUUAGGUUUGGUAGAAGGGGUGUCACCACAGUUUGUCUUAGGAAGAUCAUCUCUUGCACAGGUAUGGUCUUCUAUAAAAGCCAACACAAUAACCAUUUGUGCUUCUAUACCAGCAACUAAACCAGGAAAAUCAAGGGGCUAACAUCAGCACCCACUGCCUGGAGCUCACCACCACCAAAGGUCCAACAAAACCUAUGGUAAGCAUAAGGGGAAUCAGACAAGGGGAGAUGUUACAGGACAAUACUUGGCACUGGCGCACUCUGCAUGACGAAUUUCCUGCCCAUACUUAUCAGGCGACAUGUUCCAUGCUAAUUGUAAUUACCAAAUAUUUUCAUUUAUUUCCUAAAGUAGAAAUUCCUCAAAUAGUAUCUUUCCCUUGAUAGAAUAAUUUAUUUCCUAAAUUCGAAAUAAAUUACCACCAUUAAAAUGGUUAGUUAAUUUGAUAAGUUAGUUUAGACUGAUAUUAUUAAUUAUUUACAUAUUAAUUACCAACAGUUAAAAAUUAGAGUUAUGUCAUACAUGGUUCCCCCUCCUCAUCAAACCCUCUCCCAUUCACUCUAACUUGAAGGUAAGAUGGGAAGAAUCUAAUGAUGAGGAGCAAACCGUUCAAUCCAGGUUGAUUCGGCCAGAAUCGACAUGAUCCAAUCUAGAAUCACCUAAGACCAGCUCAAUUUAACCUAAACCAGUCCAUAAAUAGCCAGAACCAGUUAAAACCAUUCAAAAUCAUUCCAUUAUCACCAAGAACUUGCCUGAAUUGAGCGAACCAAUUUGAUUUGGUUCGGCCCAAAGGGGCUGAGUGUUGGGCCUCAACAGUCCAUAGGCAUCGAGUGGAGUCGAGCCACGUGUGUUGGACCUCAUGGUGCAAAGGGAUGGGUAAUGCUGGGCUUGACCCAAUUGGGUCUAGUCCACCUGAGCAGACUCAAGUUGAGUCUAGUCCAGGCCAAACCUUAGUAGACCCAAGAGUGGUCCAAUAGUUAGAUUUUUAUUUUUUAUAUAAAAAUGAGUAACUAAUAUCCAAAUUAAACAAAUCUACAUUGCAUAAUUGAUCAAUUAAUUAAAAUCUCAUUAACAAGAACUUCAACUGAAAUAAAUGACAUGAUACAAAUUAAAUAUAACCUAUGAAUAAAAUGUUGUAAAAUCUUAUAAAAUAAUGUGAAUGCUAACAUAGAUUUUCAAAGAACUAAAAUUAAUUAAUUUCGAAAUAUAAAGAUUCUAUCAACACAAACUAAAUGCUUAAAAAACAAAAGAAAAGUAGGAGAACUUACGGUUCUCCUUAGGGAUGAUCACCAGCCCUUUCUCCUUGCUCCUUGUUGGUAGACUUUUUUUGUCUCCAUAAAAUAAAUGAGCGAGAAGGGUUUGAGCAACUUAAAUAGGGGAAAGGGGUAAAGCCAUAUAUGGAAUAACUAUAUUUUUUUAUUUUUAAAAUAAUUUAUAUUUAAAUAAUUAAUAACAUCAUUCCAAUUUUAUUUAUUCAAAUUAAGAAACAAUCAUAAUGGCUACAAGUUAUUUCCAACCUAGGAUAUACUUAUUUAGGAACUAAAUUAUUCAAAUAAGAAAAAAUACUAUUAGAAAAAUUUUUUACUUAGGAAAUAAUUAAAAAUAUCCAAUGGUUAUGGUCACUGCUGGGUUUCAUAGUACUCAACAGUUGAUAGAAACCAAACAAGGGAUUCCAAGGCUUCCUAAUUUGCCCAACCCUCUAAACCCAUUGGAGAUCAUAUAAAAUAAUAUAGGAGCUUUGAUCGAUAGAGACACUAGGACAAUAUUAUUAUUCAUGAGGAUAAUAUCUUUUUUACUCUUUUUAUUCGAAAAUUAAAAAAUAAUACAAAUCAAAGUCCUUGCAUCUCUUCUAUGGUUUUUUUUUAAUAUUUUUCAACAACAUUGGUUUAUAUUAAAAUACUAUUAGAAAAAUUUUUGAUUUAGGAAAUAAUUGAAAAUAUCCGAUGGUUAUGGUCACUCUUGGGUUUUAUAGUACUUGCAUAAUCGAUAGAAACAAAAAAACGGAGUCCCAAGAUUUCCUAAUUUGCUCAAUCCUCUGAACCCAUUAGAAAUCAUAUAAACUAGAAUAGGAGCUUUAAUCGACAAAGACACUAGGACAAUAUUAUUAUUUAUGAGGAUAAUAUCUUUUCGGCUCUUCUUCUUCAAAAAUUAAAAAUAAGUACAAAUCAAAGUCAUUGCAUCUCUCCUAUAUUUUUUUUCAUAUUUUUUACAACAAUAUUGGUUUAAUUUAAAAGCUUUAAUCCCUACUCAAAAGUUGUAAUGCCAUAAUCGCAUCGUGCAUACAAUUCUUCGCAAAAUUCAUCAUCCAAAGCUGACUGUUUAUAUGUUACAUGUUUCUCAUUAAUACAUAAUGCUCAUUAAUACAUGUUCCUCAUCCACAAAAUUCAUAAUGCUCUGACGAUUUAUAUGACAUGUUCCUCAUUAAUACAUAAAACACAAAUACCAACUAACUAAACAAGCAGUCAAUGAGACCUUUCAUCCAACUACCUAAAUAAACAUCACCUCAGCUCAAUAUGAAAAGAAUCCUCCUAUUGUACUAUGAUCUAAAAAAGAUAAUAAACACAAAUGCCCAGUAGAGGAAUUCAAAGGACAAUGAAUAACAAUAUACGAAAUAAAUACAUAACAUUUGUGAAAAUAUGUUCAUAAUAAAUGUUCAUUCAUACAAGACGAAUAACCAAAGUACCAACAAUAGGGAAUUUGAAAGUAACAACUCAGAAAGAUGCAUAUAAUAAAAUAUCAUUUAAUAAUGCAUCAUAAUCAUCCAAUGAUACACCAUCAUCAAUAAUAGUGUCGAACAAAUGGACAUCCAAACUCUCAGAAUCGAUAGCUCUCCCAACAAUAUAUAUAAACAAUUGAUAUAAAAAAAAGACAUCAACAUCUGCAAUAGUGUUUUAAAAAACGCUUGGUGCUAAAAGGUAACAAAGUUGCAAAAUGCCCAAAGUGUCGAUCAAUAUGGUGUUAACCAAUUCUAACCAAUGCUAAAUAAAGAAUUGAGAAGAGGUGUAUCCAACGGGUGUGGAAGAAGGUAGGGGGAAAGAGAGGGUGACAAACGAAGCUGUAGAUAAGACGACAACAAUGGACAAAUCUGCAAACGAAAGCGAUGACGACGAAUGAAACUACGGAUAAAGGUGGUGAAUUCACUUCGAAGACAAACUUUUAGAGGGGGGUGGGGGAGGGUUGUGUUAGGGUACAUUAGUUGGUUCAAUCGACUCAGGCAGAAACCCAAACCCAACUUCACUUGGGUGCUGGCUCGAGGUGCCCAACGCUUGGGCCCAGGUGUGCACCUAAGCAACGCUUCAUUGAAACACCACACCUGGAGGCUUUGCGAGGCACGGAGGCCUCAUCUCGUCUCGCCUCGCUAGAGUGCCUUUUGAAAACAUUGAUCUACAGAUGUUGGGGUUCCAUAUUGCCCUUUAAACUAGAGUGGUCUCACACUAGUCAUGAUGGAGACAUCUAAUCAUGACGGAGUCAUGAUGGUAAUACACAUGUUGCUCACCAAACACAAGACCAUCUAGUUGCCCCAUUUGAUGAUCCGCUAAUUCAGAAGAAAAUCGGUCUAUCGGUACUAGUUUAUUUGCCCAUCAUCGAUAGGGAUAAUGACCAUAAUCAACAUGAUACAAUUCAUGGUAUCAUAUAACGUGCAAAAUAUAAUAUCAUAUAAGAAUGCAAACCAACAUAAUACCAUCACCAGUAGAGUAUCAUCCAAUAACAAGCAAGAACGUGAAUGUAAAAUAGAAUAAUAUCUUAACCAACUUAAGAGGUUCAUCAUUCAUAUUAUAAGGCUAACAACAAUAAACAACACAAGGUCAAAUAGAAGUUGACUUGAGUAUAUCCAAGACCCACUUAAGAAUGCCUAUGUUAUUAGAUUAGAUAAAUUCAGCAUAAUUUAACUAUUGAACCCAUCUUGACUUUUCUAGACUAAUAAAUCCAGAUGAGCAAAUUAUGCUAGUUCAAACUAGCUUCACUAAGUAUGCAUCUCAUUAACACUUACUAUGACCGUUAAAUAACUCUAGCUUAAAAUGAUACAUUCAAAUUAAAUUGGGUCAUUAAUCAUUUGUUUGUGUUACUAAUCAUUUUGAUUCCCUUUGCAUUGUUUGUUAGUGCAAUAUAAUAUACAUAAUGACUACAAGGUAUCCUGAAAACAAUUUCCUCUUAAAUUCUCAUUAAAGAUCUCACCUACAUGUGUAAUUACUAAUAGUGAUAUAUGCACAUCACCUAUGACCACAUAGAUGAAUAUGUGCAUACAUGCAUGACAAAUGAAUACUGUUAUUGGAAAUUACACUUAGGUACGUACCAUGUACUACCAGGCCAAGUGUAGGAAAUGUAAGUUGUGCUGAAAAUGGAGAUUGGAUGAUUCACGUGGUUAAGGGCCAGCAUUUAUUUGGCCAACUCUUUCGUGUACAAUAAGUCCAUUCAGAUAGAACAUGGGAAAAGGUCUUGCAUUAAAUAAGGAUUAACAAGUGCAUGAUGUUAUUGCUAAUAAGGCACAAAAUGAGUCAUUCACAUUAGGGUCAUUAAAUAUCACUUAAAUUCCACUUGACUGUCAGAGGGCCACUAUAUAACCAUCACAUAUUUUGAUAGGUUAGUCACAAAACAAUAGAUUGACUAGCAAUCUAGUAAUACAUGCCAUGGAAUAAAUGUGGUUACAGUCUAAACAUUAUGCUUCUUCCCAAACUAUCUAGUUUUGAGUAAGAAAUUAGCAAUGAAGCCAUGACCUAAAGGUAAUGGUUGGGUUGAGGCUAGGCCAUGGUAGAACGGUUCAUGCAAGCUAUGGCCUCAAAUAUGCGGAGGGGCCCAUGGCUUGCGUUAGAAUAUUACUACCAUAUCCUAUAGCCCUAUGGCCAGAAGACUUAUGCCAUGUGGUCCUUGACUUAUGGUGAAUUACAACAAGAUUUCCUCUUUCUGAUCACUAAUUGGCCUACGAAUGGAGGAAAGCUCCAAAAUUGUAACAGUGGAUUCAAGUUUGUCAGUGUAACAGAACUGAAGCAUGGACAUAGAUUUACUCCAAGUGUCGAGUCAUUAUCACGAGCUAUCUCCCACAGUCCCACUCUAGGAUAUUGGCUUGGAAGUCAGUACACUUAUGAAUGUGUAGAGCAGUCAUCAUUUGAGACAUCUGAAAUUACUCAUAGGAUGUUAAGCAUAGUGCAUGCAUAUGUUACAAGAACGCAAAAGAUGUAGUGAUUUUGAUUGUGCUAUCACUUGUUUUGUCUAUUCAUUGGAUUAUGCAGAUGACAACACCAAAAGGUAUUGCAACCUCAACUAAGAUAUGCCUCUGAGUUGUUUGUCCACACUAGACCUAUGCAAAUGUGGAUUAACUUCCAACUGGUUCAUAUCCAAGUUCAUUUCAAGGAUUGGUUAGUGGAUCAGUUAGAGCAUGAGAUAUUAAGUGCAUCGGGGUGACACUGAAAUUCCAAUAGUGAUGCCUUAUGACCAUGAUUCUACCAGUAACCUAGUUAACCAUUGCACAUGAAGUGCAAGGAACAUAUACCACAAUUGAAACAUGUUAAUCAGAUUAGAAGUAUUAACUACCAUUUUCUUAUACAUAGAUAUUAUCGCUCAUUGUUAUUUCCUUUUCCUUCUUAGGGAAUUUGGUAAAUAACAAAUGACAUGCAUUUUCUACUACACUCACAUGGAUACAAGUAAAAAGAUUCGAAUCAUCUACUGGAAAAUUGAGCCACAAUCAUAAUAGAAAAUUUGCCAUAGAUAUCAUUACGCUUCAUAUGAUAAUUUAAGCAUCGAAAAUAGCAUUUUUGGAUGACAAGGAACGCUUUUUAUUUCAAUACAAUCAUCUACAUCAUAGAAAACAAUGAGAUAGAAGGAAGGAAAUCUCUAGAAAAGAUCACUACCAGGUUUCUGACAUGGAAAAGAAAAAAAAUAGAAUCCUAC
rnacentral:lncRNA from 1 species